AUAAUAAUAAUAAUCAUGUUUCCAUAAAAUUGCUAAGUCCAGAGAUAAUACAUAAACAUAGUAGACUGUUCAUGACACAUAUCACGGUGGACAGUGUUUGUGUCCUUAUUACAAGCAACGAGAGAUGCUCGUCACCAACACGCGCGCGCACAGAUGCACGACAUACAUAUAGUAGAGACCAACAGAUGGUCGUCCCAUAUGGUGAACAAUUUAUUGGAGAUAAAUAUUAACGUAACUUGGCCAUAGCUUGAAGCAUAGCAACAUAUGCCUAUGAGUGGCAUUCAUGCUAUCGUUUUAGGCUUGUCCAGCUCCUUCCAUCUUAGCAAGCACUUCCAUUUCUACCAUCUUAGCAGCAACUGUCAAAUUGAGAUACGGAAAUCCCAUUAGCGCAUGAGUUAAUUUUGCAGUGGAAAUAGAGUACAAGAUGUCUUCAUGAUGUAAGUAAUAUGCCUGAAGUUGUGAGAUGGGAAGUGAAGUCAACAAAUUACAUUAACGGAAAUGCAUGGAAGGCCACACAUACGUAUUAGUCCAUGAUAUGCUACAAAGCUUGUAUGUACAUAUAGCAAAUUAAAUGCAUUAAUUGAAUAGAGUGUGUUUAGUGAAUUUACCAGAAUCGUCCAGAAAACAUGGGAAACAGCAAGUGUUCUUGCAGACUGCGUCGGAGGCACCCGCACGAAUACAAAGCUGACAACAUAGUUUUGCCUGGGCGGAUGCGCAGCAGCCGCACUCCGCCGCGGUGGGGUUAACAUUGAGGCUCAAGAUGACCAGGCACAUGAUCACCAUCAAAGUGGUAGUCCUCUUUCCCUCCAUUGCCUCCUCUUAGCUUGCUGCUACCUUCCUUGGUUACCUAGCUAAGUUUAUUGGUUUUGUGUUGAGAGGUGUGAUUCUUGAAUGGACGUUGCCGGCGGCAAUUUAUAGGCAGCUGAGCUAUGUGAUGAUAUGGACUAGGUGCAAAUGGGUGGUUAAUGGCAAGGAAAGGGGCGUCAGACAAAGCCCAAUGGCAACUGCUGACAUGCGAUUAAAUUCAGAUCCACAUCCGGCCAUUCAAUAAUACGGUUGGAGUUGUGGCACAGAUAUAUUAUUGCAUGAUCAUCAAGAUAAGAUCGUACAGUGACUGAGUGAGACAAUAAAUAGCCAAGUAAACUAUUUUAUCCUGCUGCAAGCUGCAUUCAUAAGUUUAUUUCACCUUUGAUCACAAUACUCUUCACACACGUACGUCUCAGGGAGAUCUCACUUCCGCUGGACUGCUCACUUCCGCUGUCGUCGGUACUGCCAAAGACAUAAGCUCACAUCUGCUAUUGCGGAGCAGGCCAAUUUGCUGCGGAACUUCGGCGACGACCUGAAGGACAUGAACUCGGUGCUGGAGUCCAUCUCAGCAGCGCUCUAGGACGCUGACACCGGUAGAAAAACGACCUUCCAUCGUCAACAAAAAUCCCGGUAGCUUUUUUACUCGGUACUAAAGAGGUUUUAAUCUCGUGCAAACACCUUUAGUCCAGAUUGCUAUUACCACGCAACCCGGACUAAAGCGUCCCCCGCGAGUUAGUAUAUAAGGAUUGCAUCCUUUACUCAGUCAGAUAUAAUAUGUAGGUGAGAUGGUAAGGAAGCUAUGCGUGAGGCUUCAGGUUGUGGGUUCGAAUCCAAGUGGGUGCAGCUGUGGCUUAAGCGGCUGAGGCACGCCGCCAUAGACAUCUCAGAUUUGCUCGAAGACUACCAAGACACUAGUGAACCCUUAACAGUAAAGGUGAGUACUUAUGAAUGUCAGCAUCCAUGUUGUCCAUGCUUCCAAUGUAAUAACAAGAUGGACUACUCUUCCUAGCGGACUCUUCACAACCACUCGUAAAGCUAUGCGUUUCUCAAUGCAAUUUCGUAGAAGCCAAUCGAUCCAACCAAGUGACUAAAUCAUUCGUCCUUUCCAAUGAUGUGCAUCAGGUUUUCUAUAUGAAGGGCAUGUCUAGCAAACCUAAGAUUUCAGAAGAAAAAGAAAAAUCAUUGGAGCCAAAGAGCCACAUAGUUCUUCUAGGAAAAAAAUCAUGGGAGUCGAGAACAUAUCAAACCAAUCAGGGGAUUAUGGUCAGCUUAAUGGCAUGCCUCCAUUCGAUGUCGAAGUUCACCCAAGCAUCAUGUUAGCCAAACAUCAAAUGUUCGUGCGUUGUUACGGUAAAGAUCAAUUGUGUUUUUUAAACUCUUGGAAUUUUUUUAUCUAAGUUUUUAUUUACACUUAUUGGAUGUCUACACAUUUGCUAGAAAACUAAAAUAAUUUGGACUUAAUUAUUUCUUUCAACUGAAGUACUCACUAAAUUUCUACCUUUUUAUUUAAGCAAGAGAGUUGCUAAAAAAAAUGGAUACGUAACCAUGUUGUAUCAUACAAAGUAACCACGUUUCACAUAUAGUCCGGCUUAGCAAACACCAUUGUUUUCUGAACAUAGCGUACAUGAGUUAACAGACAUGGAUUUAUUUCUAUUGCAAGUAGCAUAGCGUACAACCUGCCUGCACCGAUGCAGCUCAAUAUGCGAUAAUUUUUAUCUUCCCAUGUAAUUUUUCUACUCUAGUACAUAUUGAACUCCACAUUAAUGUCAUGUUCUUUCGCGCCCCAGAAGGUUCCUAAAGUUUGGAAACUUAAUAGAUAGCCAGAAUUUUUUUUAAAGAUAUUUAUAUGGAUACUUGUAUGUUCUUUCCAAACUAACAAUAUUGUUUACCAAUAUCAGAAGGAAUAUGGUUAGGAGCCAUUGCCGCAUAUGGCAGGUGAUGGUAGAUGGCGUAUGGGGUUUCGUUAAUUUAAUGGUAUAAUAAGCUGAAAUACAUUUUCUAUUUGCAAAUGAAUCAUAGCUGAAAUUGGUGGGAUUGUUUUUUUCGCCGGUUUAGCAUCCUGUGCACCAGUUCAACCGGAGGGAAGCUGUUUUUUUUCUUUGGUUUUCCACCGGUUCACCGAGACCGAUGACAAUUUUAUGGCAGAAUCAUUACUUGUUUUACUAUUAGGUGAAGAUUUUAGCGUUUAGGUAUCUCACAUUAAACGCAACUUCAACAAUCUAUUUCUAGUGUAUAAUGUAGGAGACCCCGUAAAGAGUCUACACACACAUAUAUGUUGACUAUGAAUGUAAGUUUGUUGGUUUUAUGUAUGUUCGUUUGGAGUUUAUAUAAAUUUUACAUUUUAUAGUUUUGUGUAUAUGACGAAGAUCCAUGACUUGCAUUAAUUUAGCCUUUCUUCCAACAACUCUUAUGCAUGCUGUUUCUAGGCGAGCGUACUGGUUGCAAUUUUGGUCCCCGAUAUAGUGUGAGGACUUAAGGGACACGUGCAGGUCGUAACCUUAGAUAUUUUUGCUGAGAAUGGAUGAAGAAGCAAUAAUAUACUUUGCUUCUGAUUUUCUCCAUGUCAUUUGCUUACUCUUAUCCCUUUUAUUUAUCAUUAUAAGAUGAAAAUAUUGUAAAAACUUGGCUACGUGCGGUCGCAGAAGCUAGAGACUAAAGCGUCCCCCACGAGUUACUAUAUAAAAGGAUUGCAUCCUCUACUCAGUCAUAUGUACUGUGUAGGUGAGAUGGUAAGGAAGCUAUGUGUGAGGCUUGAGGUUGUAGGUUCGAAUCCCACGCACCGCGUGCGCAUGCGCAUAUUUUGCGUGAAAAAUCGCAUGACUUGUGGUCGGCCAAGGAGAAGUGCGUGCGGCUGAGGCACGCCGCCAUAGACAUCUCGGAUUUGCUCCAAGACUACCAAGACACUAGCGAACCCUUAACGGCAAAGUUGAGUACUUACGCGUGUUAGCAUCUAUGUUGUCCAUGCUUCCAAUGCAAUAACAAGAAGGGCUACUCAUCCUAGCGGAUUCUUCACAACCACUCGUAAAGCUAUGCGUUUCUCAAUGCAAUUUCGUAGAUGUCAAUCGAUCCAACCAAGCGACUGAAUCAUUCGUCCUUGCUAAUGAUGUGCAUCAGGUUUUCUAUAUGAAGAACAUGUCUAGCAAAUCCAAGAUUUCAGAAGAAAAAUAAAAAUCAUGAGAACCAAAGCACCACGUAGUUCUUCCAGGUAAAAAAAACAAUCAUCCACUGGGAUGACACACAGUAGCGAUCCAAAACGUCCAUAUUAAGACUUUUUGAUAGCAGAAAAAACAUGAAAAUGUCUAAUAUUUGUAGUAUUAAAAGGAAAAAUAAUAUAUUCACUUGACCUUUUUUUCGUAGCAACGCACCGGUGCGUAGUCAGACUUAGGCCACGUUUGGAUACUCCCUACUAAAGUUUAGCACCUGUCACAUAGGAUGUUUGGAUACUAAUUAGGAGUAUUAAACAUAGGCUAAUUAUAAAACUAAUUGAACAGAUGGAGUCUAAUUUGCGAGACGAAUCUAUUAAGCCUAACUAGUCCAUGAUUUGACAAUGUGGUGCUACAGUAACCAUUUGCUAAUGGUGGAUUAAUUAGGCUUAAUAGAUUCGUCUCGCGAAUUAACAUAGGGUUCUGCAAUUAAUUUUAUAAUUAGCUCAUGUCUAGUCCUUCUAAUUAGCAUCCGAACAUCUGAUAUGAUACUGCUAAAGUUUAUCACCUAGUAUCCAAAUACCCCCUUAAUGCACGAUGCCUGUGCAUCCACUGGGCCUACCCUCGUGGAUCACGCGCUCGUGGAUCACGCGCACCAUGACAUGGCUCAUUAGCUAGUCGUGCUAAUCCUUACCACCAAAUUAAAAACUAGCAUGUGUUGUGUGUUUGUGACCCUAAACGACUACCACCUUCCCGAGUCCACCGGAGUUGCCAGUUCACCACUAAGCUGACUCUCCGAGCUUCAUGUCACUGUCACCGCUCCAAAGACCUAGAUCGGUUCGCUGUGCACCCCGCUUCGUCCUGAGCUAAAUCCCAUCACGAAAGGUGACCGGAUGCUCGUUUUCGAGCGAAUUCUAGCGAGAUUGCCACCACCUUUCCCCUUCCAGCCGAUCGCAGCUGUCUGAUCACAAACCGACAGCCCAGAUCGGAUUUGACCAGGUCAAUACCGGUCAAGCCGAGAUGCAUGCUGCUUUUGCAAGAAGGCCCCUAUUUUUCUCUCUUUUUGCACUUGAGGUCCUACGCAGUUCAAAAGUAAUUAGAUCUAGAUCCUUUUUCUUCUGUUUUAGCCCUGUUCUUUUAUAAAAUCCCACCCGCCAUCCUGUUUGGUAUUUUGACAUGUUAGACCUUCUAUUUAUAUGUUUAAUUAGGUUUUAGCCCUUGGUUUCUUUAAGUUUAGCUCUUGGAAGUUUAGUUUUCUCGCAGUUAAGCCCCUGAACCUUGUUUAGUUCAUAUCUUUAGCGUUUUAAAUCCGUUUUAAGAGAUUCUUACGCCCAUAAGUUCGUGUUGAUGCAUAGAUUAGUUGACUUAUACGGACCUUGCUGAUUCAGCUCCUUCAUUGUGCUUCAGAUCUCGCUAGUGAAGAAUAAUGGAUGGGCUUUGGUUGAGCUUGUAGAUCGACCUGCAGUUGCAGUGAAUGUGCUGAGGACUGGCGGUACCAAUAAUGGGAGGCCGCUGCUCUGCUUGCUACCAAGGCCUGCGACGCUUGGACGCCAUUCAGAGUGCAUAAUUUCCAAGGAUCUCAAGGGCUCCACACCACGUUCCAAGUGUUUUUUCUUUGCCGAGUGUUUUUAGCUCGGCACUUGGCAAAGAGCUUGUUUGCCGAGUGUCCGAAAAAAACACUUGGCAAAGAGAAAACACUCGGCAAAUUUGAUGUUUCCCGUAGUGAUGUACUAUUCAAACUUGAACUGGGAUGCAGGCUUCAGUACCAAAGAGAGCUCUGGGCGCGGGUGAGCAGUGAGCUGGCCGGGCAGGGAGCUCCAAAGCGACAGCAACAAAGAGAGAAAUGCUAAGAGUAAGAACGACACACGAGGUCACUUCACAUAGAUAAUAGCAGUACGAACCAUACAAUAUCCUCUCUCAGUUUCACUCCGCCUCACACACGGCUAGCACACCAUGCAUGCCGAUUUCAUAUUAUUAAUAUUAUUUUUUGGAUGGUUGUUGAAACUAUAUAUAUAGUUAGUCCAAUCUCACGUUUCCGAUUAUAAAAAUCAACGUAAAGAGAUCGGAAGGGAGAGCCGGCAUAAUGAAGCCGACGCGUGUAAUAAGCACCAGAGCCGGCAUUUAUACAAACUGGUACGAAUAGUAAAAAACUAGAAUUUAUAAAUAAAAAAAUGAUUUGCACAUCUAUGCAAUAAUUAGGGGUUAGUGGCAGGUCUAGAGAGAUAUCUCAUCAUUAUAUCCGGUUUAACGAGGAUAAAAAAGAGUGUAUUUUCCACUCAUCAUGUUGUCUUUUCGCAGCGGUACCACUUUUCGUGUGUUGUAUCGGUCCCCUAAUACGGAGUCUCCGAGGCCCGAGAAAAUAAGGAAAGUGAUAGUAGCCCAGAAAUCGGCCAAGUUUCUUUCCCCUUUGGCUUUCCUACUAGGAUUCAGAAUCCUCUUUCGCAUGACAAUCUUAAUUAUCUCCCAUACUCCAAAACUCACAAAAACAUCAAGAUUCCGCUGAGAAUAAAUUUAAGUAAAAAACAUGCACACACAGAUAAUAAUAAUAAUCAUGUUUCCAUAAAAUUGCUAAGUCCAGAGAUAAUACAUAAACAUAGUAGACUGUUCAUGACACAUAUCACGGUGGACAGUGUUUGUGUCCUUAUUACAAGCAACGAGAGAUGCUCGUCACCAACACGCGCGCGCACAGAUGCACGACAUACAUAUAGUAGAGACCAACAGAUGGUCGUCCCAUAUGGUGAACAAUUUAUUGGGGAUAAAUAUUAACGUAACUUGGCCAUAGCUUGAAGCAUAGCAACAUAUGCCUAUGAGUGGCAUUCAUGCUAUCGUUUUAGGCUUGUCCAGCUCCUUCCAUCUUAGCAAGCACUUCCAUUUCUACCAUCUUAGCAGCAACUGUCAAAUUGAGAUACGGAAAUCCCAUUAGCGCAUGAGUUAAUUUUGCAGUGGAAAUAGAGUACAAGAUGUCUUCAUGAUGUAAGUAAUAUGCCUGAAGUUGUGAGAUGGGAAGUGAAGUCAACAAAUUACAUUAACGGAAAUGCAUGGAAGGCCACACAUACGUAUUAGUCCAUGAUAUGCUACAAAGCUUGUAUGUACAUAUAGCAAAUUAAAUGCAUUAAUUGAAUAGAGUGUGUUUAGUGAAUUUACCAGAAUCGUCCAGAAAACAUGGGAAACAGCAAGUGUUCUUGCAGACUGCGUCGGAGGCACCCGCACGAAUACAAAGCUGACAACAUAGUUUUGCCUGGGCGGAUGCGCAGCAGCCGCACUCCGCCGCGGUGGGGUUAACAUUGAGGCUCAAGAUGACCAGGCACAUGAUCACCAUCAAAGUGGUAGUCCUCUUUCCCUCCAUUGCCUCCUCUUAGCUUGCUGCUACCUUCCUUGGUUACCUAGCUAAGUUUAUUGGUUUUGUGUUGAGAGGUGUGAUUUUUGAAUGGACGUUGCCGGCGGCAAUUUAUAGGCAGCUGAGCUAUGUGAUGAUAUGGACUAGGUGCAAAUGGGUGGUUAAUGGCAAGGAAAGGGGCGUCAGACAAAGCCCAAUGGCAACUGCUGACAUGCGAUUAAAUUCAGAUCCACAUCCGGCCAUUCAAUAAUACGGUUGGAGUUGUGGCACAGAUAUAUUAUUGCAUGAUCAUCAAGAUAAGAUCGUACAGUGACUGAGUGAGACAAUAAAUAGCCAAGUAAACUAUUUUAUCCUGCUGCAAGCUGCAUUCAUAAGUUUAUUUCACCUUUGAUCACAAUACUCUUCACACACGUACGUCUCAGGGAGAUCUCACUUCCGCUGGACUGCUCACUUCCGCUGUCGUCGGUACUGCCAAAGACAUAAGCUCACAUCUGCUAUUGCGGAGCAGGCCAAUUUGCUGCGGAACUUCGGCGACGACCUGAAGGACAUGAACUCGGUGCUGGAGUCCAUCUCAGCAGCGCUCUAGGACGCUGACACCGGUAGAAAAACGACCUUCCAUCGUCAACAAAAAUCCCGGUAGCUUUUUUACUCGGUACUAAAGAGGUUUUAAUCUCGUGCAAACACCUUUAGUCCAGAUUGCUAUUACCACGCAACCCGGACUAAAGCGUCCCCCGCGAGUUAGUAUAUAAGGAUUGCAUCCUUUACUCAGUCAGAUAUAAUAUGUAGGUGAGAUGGUAAGGAAGCUAUGCGUGAGGCUUCAGGUUGUGGGUUCGAAUCCAAGUGGGUGCAGCUGUGGCUUAAGCGGCUGAGGCACGCCGCCAUAGACAUCUCAGAUUUGCUCGAAGACUACCAAGACACUAGUGAACCCUUAACAGUAAAGGUGAGUACUUAUGAAUGUCAGCAUCCAUGUUGUCCAUGCUUCCAAUGUAAUAACAAGAUGGACUACUCUUCCUAGCGGACUCUUCACAACCACUCGUAAAGCUAUGCGUUUCUCAAUGCAAUUUCGUAGAAGCCAAUCGAUCCAACCAAGUGACUAAAUCAUUCGUCCUUUCCAAUGAUGUGCAUCAGGUUUUCUAUAUGAAGGGCAUGUCUAGCAAACCUAAGAUUUCAGAAGAAAAAGAAAAAUCAUUGGAGCCAAAGAGCCACAUAGUUCUUCUAGGAAAAAAAUCAUGGGAGUCGAGAACAUAUCAAACCAAUCAGGGGAUUAUGGUCAGCUUAAUGGCAUGCCUCCAUUCGAUGUCGAAGUUCACCCAAGCAUCAUGUUAGCCAAACAUCAAAUGUUCGUGCGUUGUUACGGUAAAGAUCAAUUGUGUUUUUUAAACUCUUGGAAUUUUUUUAUCUAAGUUUUUAUUUACACUUAUUGGAUGUCUACACAUUUGCUAGAAAACUAAAAUAAUUUGGACUUAAUUAUUUCUUUCAACUGAAGUACUCACUAAAUUUCUACCUUUUUAUUUAAGCAAGAGAGUUGCUAAAAAAAAUGGAUACGUAACCAUGUUGUAUCAUACAAAGUAACCACGUUUCACAUAUAGUCCGGCUUAGCAAACACCAUUGUUUUCUGAACAUAGCGUACAUGAGUUAACAGACAUGGAUUUAUUUCUAUUGCAAGUAGCAUAGCGUACAACCUGCCUGCACCGAUGCAGCUCAAUAUGCGAUAAUUUUUAUCUUCCCAUGUAAUUUUUCUACUCUAGUACAUAUUGAACUCCACAUUAAUGUCAUGUUCUUUCGCGCCCCAGAAGGUUCCUAAAGUUUGGAAACUUAAUAGAUAGCCAGAAUUUUUUUUAAAGAUAUUUAUAUGGAUACUUGUAUGUUCUUUCCAAACUAACAAUAUUGUUUACCAAUAUCAGAAGGAAUAUGGUUAGGAGCCAUUGCCGCAUAUGGCAGGUGAUGGUAGAUGGCGUAUGGGGUUUCGUUAAUUUAAUGGUAUAAUAAGCUGAAAUACAUUUUCUAUUUGCAAAUGAAUCAUAGCUGAAAUUGGUGGGAUUGUUUUUUCGCCGGUUUAGCAUCCUGUGCACCAGUUCAACCGGAGGGAAGCUGUUUUUUUUCUUUGGUUUUCCACCGGUUCACCGAGACCGAUGACAAUUUUAUGGCAGAAUCAUUACUUGUUUUACUAUUAGGUGAAGAUUUUAGCGUUUAGGUAUCUCACAUUAAACGCAACUUCAACAAUCUAUUUCUAGUGUAUAAUGUAGGAGACCCCGUAAAGAGUCUACACACACAUAUAUGUUGACUAUGAAUGUAAGUUUGUUGGUUUUAUGUAUGUUCGUUUGGAGUUUAUAUAAAUUUUACAUUUUAUAGUUUUGUGUAUAUGACGAAGAUCCAUGACUUGCAUUAAUUUAGCCUUUCUUCCAACAACUCUUAUGCAUGCUGUUUCUAGGCGAGCGUACUGGUUGCAAUUUUGGUCCCCGAUAUAGUGUGAGGACUUAAGGGACACGUGCAGGUCGUAACCUUAGAUAUUUUUGCUGAGAAUGGAUGAAGAAGCAAUAAUAUACUUUGCUUCUGAUUUUCUCCAUGUCAUUUGCUUACUCUUAUCCCUUUUAUUUAUCAUUAUAAGAUGAAAAUAUUGUAAAAACUUGGCUACGUGCGGUCGCAGAAGCUAGAGACUAAAGCGUCCCCCACGAGUUACUAUAUAAAAGGAUUGCAUCCUCUACUCAGUCAUAUGUACUGUGUAGGUGAGAUGGUAAGGAAGCUAUGUGUGAGGCUUGAGGUUGUAGGUUCGAAUCCCACGCACCGCGUGCGCAUGCGCAUAUUUUGCGUGAAAAAUCGCAUGACUUGUGGUCGGCCAAGGAGAAGUGCGUGCGGCUGAGGCACGCCGCCAUAGACAUCUCGGAUUUGCUCCAAGACUACCAAGACACUAGCGAACCCUUAACGGCAAAGUUGAGUACUUACGCGUGUUAGCAUCUAUGUUGUCCAUGCUUCCAAUGCAAUAACAAGAAGGGCUACUCAUCCUAGCGGAUUCUUCACAACCACUCGUAAAGCUAUGCGUUUCUCAAUGCAAUUUCGUAGAUGUCAAUCGAUCCAACCAAGCGACUGAAUCAUUCGUCCUUGCUAAUGAUGUGCAUCAGGUUUUCUAUAUGAAGAACAUGUCUAGCAAAUCCAAGAUUUCAGAAGAAAAAUAAAAAUCAUGAGAACCAAAGCACCACGUAGUUCUUCCAGGUAAAAAAAACAAUCAUCCACUGGGAUGACACACAGUAGCGAUCCAAAACGUCCAUAUUAAGACUUUUUGAUAGCAGAAAAAACAUGAAAAUGUCUAAUAUUUGUAGUAUUAAAAGGAAAAAUAAUAUAUUCACUUGACCUUUUUUUCGUAGCAACGCACCGGUGCGUAGUCAGACUUAGGCCACGUUUGGAUACUCCCUACUAAAGUUUAGCACCUGUCACAUAGGAUGUUUGGAUACUAAUUAGGAGUAUUAAACAUAGGCUAAUUAUAAAACUAAUUGAAUAGAUGGAGUCUAAUUUGCGAGACGAAUCUAUUAAGCCUAACUAGUCCAUGAUUUGACAAUGUGGUGCUACAGUAACCAUUUGCUAAUGGUGGAUUAAUUAGGCUUAAUAGAUUCGUCUCGCGAAUUAACAUAGGGUUCUGCAAUUAAUUUUAUAAUUAGCUCAUGUCUAGUCCUUCUAAUUAGCAUCCGAACAUCUGAUAUGAUACUGCUAAAGUUUAUCACCUAGUAUCCAAAUACCCCCUUAAUGCACGAUGCCUGUGCAUCCACUGGGCCUACCCUCGUGGAUCACGCGCUCGUGGAUCACGCGCACCAUGACAUGGCUCAUUAGCUAGUCGUGCUAAUCCUUACCACCAAAUUAAAAACUAGCAUGUGUUGUGUGUUUGUGACCCUAAACGACUACCACCUUCCCGAGUCCACCGGAGUUGCCAGUUCACCACUAAGCUGACUCUCCGAGCUUCAUGUCACUGUCACCGCUCCAAAGACCUAGAUCGGUUCGCUGUGCACCCCGCUUCGUCCUGAGCUAAAUCCCAUCACGAAAGGUGACCGGAUGCUCGUUUUCGAGCGAAUUCUAGCGAGAUUGCCACCACCUUUCCCCUUCCAGCCGAUCGCAGCUGUCUGAUCACAAACCGACAGCCCAGAUCGGAUUUGACCAGGUCAAUACCGGUCAAGCCGAGAUGCAUGCUGCUUUUGCAAGAAGGCCCCUAUUUUUCUCUCGUUUUGCACUUGAGGUCCUACGCAGUUCAAAAGUAAUUAGAUCUAGAUCCUUUUUCUUCUGUUUUAGCCCUGUUCUUUUAUAAAAUCCCACCCGCCAUCCUGUUUGGUAUUUUGACAUGUUAGACCUUCUAUUUAUAUGUUUAAUUAGGUUUUAGCCCUUGGUUUCUUUAAGUUUAGCUCUUGGAAGUUUAGUUUUCUCGCAGUUAAGCCCCUGAACCUUGUUUAGUUCAUAUCUUUAGCGUUUUAAAUCCGUUUUAAGAGAUUCUUACGCCCAUAAGUUCGUGUUGAUGCAUAGAUUAGUUGACUUAUACGGACCUUGCUGAUUCAGCUCCUUCAUUGUGCUUCAGAUCUCGCUAGUGAAGAAUAAUGGAUGGGCUUUGGUUGAGCUUGUAGAUCGACCUGCAGUUGCAGUGAAUGUGCUGAGGACUGGCGGUACCAAUAAUGGGAGGCCGCUGCUCUGCUUGCUACCAAGGCCUGCGACGCUUGGACGCCAUUCAGAGUGCAUAAUUUCCAAGGAUCUCAAGGGCUCCACACCACGUUCCAAGUGUUUUUUCUUUGCCGAGUGUUUUUAGCUCGGCACUUGGCAAAGAGCUUGUUUGCCGAGUGUCCGAAAAAAACACUUGGCAAAGAGAAAACACUCGGCAAAUUUGAUGUUUCCCGUAGUGAUGUACUAUUCAAACUUGAACUGGGAUGCAGGCUUCAGUACCAAAGAGAGCUCUGGGCGCGGGUGAGCAGUGAGCUGGCCGGGCAGGGAGCUCCAAAGCGACAGCAACAAAGAGAGAAAUGCUAAGAGUAAGAACGACACACGAGGUCACUUCACAUAGAUAAUAGCAGUACGAACCAUACAAUAUCCUCUCUCAGUUUCACUCCGCCUCACACACGGCUAGCACACCAUGCAUGCCGAUUUCAUAUUAUUAAUAUUAUUUUUUGGAUGGUUGUUGAAACUAUAUAUAUAGUUAGUCCAAUCUCACGUUUCCGAUUAUAAAAAUCAACGUAAAGAGAUCGGUAGGGAGAGCCGGCAUAAUGAAGCCGACGCGUGUAAUAAGCACCAGAGCCGGCAUUUAUACAAACUGGUACGAAUAGUAAAAAACUAGAAUUUAUAAAUAAAAAAAUGAUUUGCACAUCUAUGCAAUAAUUAGGGGUUAGUGGCAGGUCUAGAGAGAUAUCUCAUCAUUAUAUCCGGUUUAACGAGGAUAAAAAAGAGUGUAUUUUCCACUCAUCAUGUUGUCUUUUCGCAGCGGUACCACUUUUCGUGUGUUGUAUCGGUCCCCUAAUACGGAGUCUCCGAGGCCCGAGAAAAUAAGGAAAGUGAUAGUAGCCCAGAAAUCGGCCAAGUUUCUUUCCCCUUUGGCUUUCCUACUAGGAUUCAGAAUCCUCUUUCGCAUGACAAUCUUAAUUAUCUCCCAUACUCCAAAACUCACAAAAACAUCAAGAGUCCGCUGAGAAUAAAUUUAAGUAAAAAACAUGCACACACAGAUAAUAAUAAUAAUCAUGUUUCCAUAAAAUUGCUAAGUCCAGAGAUAAUACAUAAACAUAGUAGACUGUUCAUGACACAUAUCACGGUGGACAGUGUUUGUGUCCUUAUUACAAGCAACGAGAGAUGCUCGUCACCAACACGCGCGCGCACAGAUGCACGACAUACAUAUAGUAGAGACCAACAGAUGGUCGUCCCAUAUGGUGAACAAUUUAUUGGAGAUAAAUAUUAACGUAACUUGGCCAUAGCUUGAAGCAUAGCAACAUAUGCCUAUGAGUGGCAUUCAUGCUAUCGUUUUAGGCUUGUCCAGCUCCUUCCAUCUUAGCAAGCACUUCCAUUUCUACCAUCUUAGCAGCAACUGUCAAAUUGAGAUACGGAAAUCCCAUUAGCGCAUGAGUUAAUUUUGCAGUGGAAAUAGAGUACAAGAUGUCUUCAUGAUGUAAGUAAUAUGCCUGAAGUUGUGAGAUGGGAAGUGAAGUCAACAAAUUACAUUAACGGAAAUGCAUGGAAGGCCACACAUACGUAUUAGUCCAUGAUAUGCUACAAAGCUUGUAUGUACAUAUAGCAAAUUAAAUGCAUUAAUUGAAUAGAGUGUGUUUAGUGAAUUUACCAGAAUCGUCCAGAAAACAUGGGAAACAGCAAGUGUUCUUGCAGACUGCGUCGGAGGCACCCGCACGAAUACAAAGCUGACAACAUAGUUUUGCCUGGGCGGAUGCGCAGCAGCCGCACUCCGCCGCGGUGGGGUUAACAUUGAGGCUCAAGAUGACCAGGCACAUGAUCACCAUCAAAGUGGUAGUCCUCUUUCCCUCCAUUGCCUCCUCUUAGCUUGCUGCUACCUUCCUUGGUUACCUAGCUAAGUUUAUUGGUUUUGUGUUGAGAGGUGUGAUUCUUGAAUGGACGUUGCCGGCGGCAAUUUAUAGGCAGCUGAGCUAUGUGAUGAUAUGGACUAGGUGCAAAUGGGUGGUUAAUGGCAAGGAAAGGGGCGUCAGACAAAGCCCAAUGGCAACUGCUGACAUGCGAUUAAAUUCAGAUCCACAUCCGGCCAUUCAAUAAUACGGUUGGAGUUGUGGCACAGAUAUAUUAUUGCAUGAUCAUCAAGAUAAGAUCGUACAGUGACUGAGUGAGACAAUAAAUAGCCAAGUAAACUAUUUUAUCCUGCUGCAAGCUGCAUUCAUAAGUUUAUUUCACCUUUGAUCACAAUACUCUUCACACACGUACGUCUCAGGGAGAUCUCACUUCCGCUGGACUGCUCACUUCCGCUGUCGUCGGUACUGCCAAAGACAUAAGCUCACAUCUGCUAUUGCGGAGCAGGCCAAUUUGCUGCGGAACUUCGGCGACGACCUGAAGGACAUGAACUCGGUGCUGGAGUCCAUCUCAGCAGCGCUCUAGGACGCUGACACCGGUAGAAAAACGACCUUCCAUCGUCAACAAAAAUCCCGGUAGCUUUUUUACUCGGUACUAAAGAGGUUUUAAUCUCGUGCAAACACCUUUAGUCCAGAUUGCUAUUACCACGCAACCCGGACUAAAGCGUCCCCCGCGAGUUAGUAUAUAAGGAUUGCAUCCUUUACUCAGUCAGAUAUAAUAUGUAGGUGAGAUGGUAAGGAAGCUAUGCGUGAGGCUUCAGGUUGUGGGUUCGAAUCCAAGUGGGUGCAGCUGUGGCUUAAGCGGCUGAGGCACGCCGCCAUAGACAUCUCAGAUUUGCUCGAAGACUACCAAGACACUAGUGAACCCUUAACAGUAAAGGUGAGUACUUAUGAAUGUCAGCAUCCAUGUUGUCCAUGCUUCCAAUGUAAUAACAAGAUGGACUACUCUUCCUAGCGGACUCUUCACAACCACUCGUAAAGCUAUGCGUUUCUCAAUGCAAUUUCGUAGAAGCCAAUCGAUCCAACCAAGUGACUAAAUCAUUCGUCCUUUCCAAUGAUGUGCAUCAGGUUUUCUAUAUGAAGGGCAUGUCUAGCAAACCUAAGAUUUCAGAAGAAAAAGAAAAAUCAUUGGAGCCAAAGAGCCACAUAGUUCUUCUAGGAAAAAAAUCAUGGGAGUCGAGAACAUAUCAAACCAAUCAGGGGAUUAUGGUCAGCUUAAUGGCAUGCCUCCAUUCGAUGUCGAAGUUCACCCAAGCAUCAUGUUAGCCAAACAUCAAAUGUUCGUGCGUUGUUACGGUAAAGAUCAAUUGUGUUUUUUAAACUCUUGGAAUUUUUUUAUCUAAGUUUUUAUUUACACUUAUUGGAUGUCUACACAUUUGCUAGAAAACUAAAAUAAUUUGGACUUAAUUAUUUCUUUCAACUGAAGUACUCACUAAAUUUCUACCUUUUUAUUUAAGCAAGAGAGUUGCUAAAAAAAAUGGAUACGUAACCAUGUUGUAUCAUACAAAGUAACCACGUUUCACAUAUAGUCCGGCUUAGCAAACACCAUUGUUUUCUGAACAUAGCGUACAUGAGUUAACAGACAUGGAUUUAUUUCUAUUGCAAGUAGCAUAGCGUACAACCUGCCUGCACCGAUGCAGCUCAAUAUGCGAUAAUUUUUAUCUUCCCAUGUAAUUUUUCUACUCUAGUACAUAUUGAACUCCACAUUAAUGUCAUGUUCUUUCGCGCCCCAGAAGGUUCCUAAAGUUUGGAAACUUAAUAGAUAGCCAGAAUUUUUUUUAAAGAUAUUUAUAUGGAUACUUGUAUGUUCUUUCCAAACUAACAAUAUUGUUUACCAAUAUCAGAAGGAAUAUGGUUAGGAGCCAUUGCCGCAUAUGGCAGGUGAUGGUAGAUGGCGUAUGGGGUUUCGUUAAUUUAAUGGUAUAAUAAGCUGAAAUACAUUUUCUAUUUGCAAAUGAAUCAUAGCUGAAAUUGGUGGGAUUGUUUUUUCGCCGGUUUAGCAUCCUGUGCACCAGUUCAACCGGAGGGAAGCUGUUUUUUUUCUUUGGUUUUCCACCGGUUCACCGAGACCGAUGACAAUUUUAUGGCAGAAUCAUUACUUGUUUUACUAUUAGGUGAAGAUUUUAGCGUUUAGGUAUCUCACAUUAAACGCAACUUCAACAAUCUAUUUCUAGUGUAUAAUGUAGGAGACCCCGUAAAGAGUCUACACACACAUAUAUGUUGACUAUGAAUGUAAGUUUGUUGGUUUUAUGUAUGUUCGUUUGGAGUUUAUAUAAAUUUUACAUUUUAUAGUUUUGUGUAUAUGACGAAGAUCCAUGACUUGCAUUAAUUUAGCCUUUCUUCCAACAACUCUUAUGCAUGAUGUUUCUAGGCGAGCGUACUGGUUGCAAUUUUGGUCCCCGAUAUAGUGUGAGGACUUAAGGGACACGUGCAGGUCGUAACCUUAGAUAUUUUUGCUGAGAAUGGAUGAAGAAGCAAUAAUAUACUUUGCUUCUGAUUUUCUCCAUGUCAUUUGCUUACUCUUAUCCCUUUUAUUUAUCAUUAUAAGAUGAAAAUAUUGUAAAAACUUGGCUACGUGCGGUCGCAGAAGCUAGAGACUAAAGCGUCCCCCACGAGUUACUAUAUAAAAGGAUUGCAUCCUCUACUCAGUCAUAUGUACUGUGUAGGUGAGAUGGUAAGGAAGCUAUGUGUGAGGCUUGAGGUUGUAGGUUCGAAUCCCACGCACCGCGUGCGCAUGCGCAUAUUUUGCGUGAAAAAUCGCAUGACUUGUGGUCGGCCAAGGAGAAGUGCGUGCGGCUGAGGCACGCCGCCAUAGACAUCUCGGAUUUGCUCCAAGACUACCAAGACACUAGCGAACCCUUAACGGCAAAGUUGAGUACUUACGCGUGUUAGCAUCUAUGUUGUCCAUGCUUCCAAUGCAAUAACAAGAAGGGCUACUCAUCCUAGCGGAUUCUUCACAACCACUCGUAAAGCUAUGCGUUUCUCAAUGCAAUUUCGUAGAUGUCAAUCGAUCCAACCAAGCGACUGAAUCAUUCGUCCUUGCUAAUGAUGUGCAUCAGGUUUUCUAUAUGAAGAACAUGUCUAGCAAAUCCAAGAUUUCAGAAGAAAAAUAAAAAUCAUGAGAACCAAAGCACCACGUAGUUCUUCCAGGUAAAAAAAACAAUCAUCCACUGGGAUGACACACAGUAGCGAUCCAAAACGUCCAUAUUAAGACUUUUUGAUAGCAGAAAAAACAUGAAAAUGUCUAAUAUUUGUAGUAUUAAAAGGAAAAAUAAUAUAUUCACUUGACCUUUUUUUCGUAGCAACGCACCGGUGCGUAGUCAGACUUAGGCCACGUUUGGAUACUCCCUACUAAAGUUUAGCACCUGUCACAUAGGAUGUUUGGAUACUAAUUAGGAGUAUUAAACAUAGGCUAAUUAUAAAACUAAUUGAACAGAUGGAGUCUAAUUUGCGAGACGAAUCUAUUAAGCCUAACUAGUCCAUGAUUUGACAAUGUGGUGCUACAGUAACCAUUUGCUAAUGGUGGAUUAAUUAGGCUUAAUAGAUUCGUCUCGCGAAUUAACAUAGGGUUCUGCAAUUAAUUUUAUAAUUAGCUCAUGUCUAGUCCUUCUAAUUAGCAUCCGAACAUCUGAUAUGAUACUGCUAAAGUUUAUCACCUAGUAUCCAAAUACCCCCUUAAUGCACGAUGCCUGUGCAUCCACUGGGCCUACCCUCGUGGAUCACGCGCUCGUGGAUCACGCGCACCAUGACAUGGCUCAUUAGCUAGUCGUGCUAAUCCUUACCACCAAAUUAAAAACUAGCAUGUGUUGUGUGUUUGUGACCCUAAACGACUACCACCUUCCCGAGUCCACCGGAGUUGCCAGUUCACCACUAAGCUGACUCUCCGAGCUUCAUGUCACUGUCACCGCUCCAAAGACCUAGAUCGGUUCGCUGUGCACCCCGCUUCGUCCUGAGCUAAAUCCCAUCACGAAAGGUGACCGGAUGCUCGUUUUCGAGCGAAUUCUAGCGAGAUUGCCACCACCUUUCCCCUUCCAGCCGAUCGCAGCUGUCUGAUCACAAACCGACAGCCCAGAUCGGAUUUGACCAGGUCAAUACCGGUCAAGCCGAGAUGCAUGCUGCUUUUGCAAGAAGGCCCCUAUUUUUCUCUCUUUUUGCACUUGAGGUCCUACGCAGUUCAAAAGUAAUUAGAUCUAGAUCCUUUUUCUUCUGUUUUAGCCCUGUUCUUUUAUAAAAUCCCACCCGCCAUCCUGUUUGGUAUUUUGACAUGUUAGACCUUCUAUUUAUAUGUUUAAUUAGGUUUUAGCCCUUGGUUUCUUUAAGUUUAGCUCUUGGAAGUUUAGUUUUCUCGCAGUUAAGCCCCUGAACCUUGUUUAGUUCAUAUCUUUAGCGUUUUAAAUCCGUUUUAAGAGAUUCUUACGCCCAUAAGUUCGUGUUGAUGCAUAGAUUAGUUGACUUAUACGGACCUUGCUGAUUCAGCUCCUUCAUUGUGCUUCAGAUCUCGCUAGUGAAGAAUAAUGGAUGGGCUUUGGUUGAGCUUGUAGAUCGACCUGCAGUUGCAGUGAAUGUGCUGAGGACUGGCGGUACCAAUAAUGGGAGGCCGCUGCUCUGCUUGCUACCAAGGCCUGCGACGCUUGGACGCCAUUCAGAGUGCAUAAUUUCCAAGGAUCUCAAGGGCUCCACACCACGUUCCAAGUGUUUUUUCUUUGCCGAGUGUUUUUAGCUCGGCACUUGGCAAAGAGCUUGUUUGCCGAGUGUCCGAAAAAAACACUUGGCAAAGAGAAAACACUCGGCAAAUUUGAUGUUUCCCGUAGUGAUGUACUAUUCAAACUUGAACUGGGAUGCAGGCUUCAGUACCAAAGAGAGCUCUGGGCGCGGGUGAGCAGUGAGCUGGCCGGGCAGGGAGCUCCAAAGCGACAGCAACAAAGAGAGAAAUGCUAAGAGUAAGAACGACACACGAGGUCACUUCACAUAGAUAAUAGCAGUACGAACCAUACAAUAUCCUCUCUCAGUUUCACUCCGCCUCACACACGGCUAGCACACCAUGCAUGCCGAUUUCAUAUUAUUAAUAUUAUUUUUUGGAUGGUUGUUGAAACUAUAUAUAUAGUUAGUCCAAUCUCACGUUUCCGAUUAUAAAAAUCAACGUAAAGAGAUCGGUAGGGAGAGCCGGCAUAAUGAAGCCGACGCGUGUAAUAAGCACCAGAGCCGGCAUUUAUACAAACUGGUACGAAUAGUAAAAAACUAGAAUUUAUAAAUAAAAAAAUGAUUUGCACAUCUAUGCAAUAAUUAGGGGUUAGUGGCAGGUCUAGAGAGAUAUCUCAUCAUUAUAUCCGGUUUAACGAGGAUAAAAAAGAGUGUAUUUUCCACUCAUCAUGUUGUCUUUUCGCAGCGGUACCACUUUUCGUGUGUUGUAUCGGUCCCCUAAUACGGAGUCUCCGAGGCCCGAGAAAAUAAGGAAAGUGAUAGUAGCCCAGAAAUCGGCCAAGUUUCUUUCCCCUUUGGCUUUCCUACUAGGAUUCAGAAUCCUCUUUCGCAUGACAAUCUUAAUUAUCUCCCAUACUCCAAAACUCACAAAAACAUCAAGAGUCCGCUGAGAAUAAAUUUAAGUAAAAAACAUGCACACACAGAUAAUAAUAAUAAUCAUGUUUCCAUAAAAUUGCUAAGUCCAGAGAUAAUACAUAAACAUAGUAGACUGUUCAUGACACAUAUCACGGUGGACAGUGUUUGUGUCCUUAUUACAAGCAACGAGAGAUGCUCGUCACCAACACGCGCGCGCACAGAUGCACGACAUACAUAUAGUAGAGACCAACAGAUGGUCGUCCCAUAUGGUGAACAAUUUAUUGGAGAUAAAUAUUAACGUAACUUGGCCAUAGCUUGAAGCAUAGCAACAUAUGCCUAUGAGUGGCAUUCAUGCUAUCGUUUUAGGCUUGUCCAGCUCCUUCCAUCUUAGCAAGCACUUCCAUUUCUACCAUCUUAGCAGCAACUGUCAAAUUGAGAUACGGAAAUCCCAUUAGCGCAUGAGUUAAUUUUGCAGUGGAAAUAGAGUACAAGAUGUCUUCAUGAUGUAAGUAAUAUGCCUGAAGUUGUGAGAUGGGAAGUGAAGUCAACAAAUUACAUUAACGGAAAUGCAUGGAAGGCCACACAUACGUAUUAGUCCAUGAUAUGCUACAAAGCUUGUAUGUACAUAUAGCAAAUUAAAUGCAUUAAUUGAAUAGAGUGUGUUUAGUGAAUUUACCAGAAUCGUCCAGAAAACAUGGGAAACAGCAAGUGUUCUUGCAGACUGCGUCGGAGGCACCCGCACGAAUACAAAGCUGACAACAUAGUUUUGCCUGGGCGGAUGCGCAGCAGCCGCACUCCGCCGCGGUGGGGUUAACAUUGAGGCUCAAGAUGACCAGGCACAUGAUCACCAUCAAAGUGGUAGUCCUCUUUCCCUCCAUUGCCUCCUCUUAGCUUGCUGCUACCUUCCUUGGUUACCUAGCUAAGUUUAUUGGUUUUGUGUUGAGAGGUGUGAUUCUUGAAUGGACGUUGCCGGCGGCAAUUUAUAGGCAGCUGAGCUAUGUGAUGAUAUGGACUAGGUGCAAAUGGGUGGUUAAUGGCAAGGAAAGGGGCGUCAGACAAAGCCCAAUGGCAACUGCUGACAUGCGAUUAAAUUCAGAUCCACAUCCGGCCAUUCAAUAAUACGGUUGGAGUUGUGGCACAGAUAUAUUAUUGCAUGAUCAUCAAGAUAAGAUCGUACAGUGACUGAGUGAGACAAUAAAUAGCCAAGUAAACUAUUUUAUCCUGCUGCAAGCUGCAUUCAUAAGUUUAUUUCACCUUUGAUCACAAUACUCUUCACACACGUACGUCUCAGGGAGAUCUCACUUCCGCUGGACUGCUCACUUCCGCUGUCGUCGGUACUGCCAAAGACAUAAGCUCACAUCUGCUAUUGCGGAGCAGGCCAAUUUGCUGCGGAACUUCGGCGACGACCUGAAGGACAUGAACUCGGUGCUGGAGUCCAUCUCAGCAGCGCUCUAGGACGCUGACACCGGUAGAAAAACGACCUUCCAUCGUCAACAAAAAUCCCGGUAGCUUUUUUACUCGGUACUAAAGAGGUUUUAAUCUCGUGCAAACACCUUUAGUCCGGAUUGCUGUUACCACGCAACCCGAACUAAAGCGUCCCCCACGAGUUACUAUAUAAGGAUUGCAUCCUUUACUCAGUCAGAUAUAAUGUGUAGGUGAGAUGGUAAGGAAGCUAUACGUGAGGCUUCAGGUUGUGGGUUCGAAUCCAAGGAGAAGUGGGUGCAGCUGUGGCUUAAGCGGCUGAGGCACGCCGCCAUAGACAUCUCAGAUUUGCUCGAAGACUACCAAGACACUAGUGAACCCUUAACAGUAAAGGUGAGUACUUAUGAAUGUCAGCAUCCAUGUUGUCCAUGCUUCCAAUGUAAUAACAAGAUGGACUACUCUUCCUAGCGGACUCUUCACAACCACUCGUAAAGCUAUACGUUUCUCAAUGCAAUUUCGUAGAAGCCAAUCGAUCCAACCAAGUGACUAAAUCAUUCAUCCUUUCCAAUGAUGUGCAUCAGGUUUUCUACAUGAAGGGCAUCUCUAGCAAACCCAAGAUUUCAGAAGAAAAAGAAAAAUCAUUGGAGCCAAAGAGCCACAUAGUUCUUCCAGGAAAAAAAAAUCAUGGGAGUCGAGAACAAAUCAAACCAAUCAGAGGAUUAUGGUCAGCUUAAUGGCAUGCCUCCAUUCGAUGUCGAAGUUCACCCAAGCAUCAUGUUAGCCAAACAUCAAAUGUUCGUGCGUUGUUACGGUAAAGAUCAAUUGUGUUUUUUAAACUCAUGGAAUUUUUUUUCUAAGUUUUUAUUACACUUAUUGGAUGUCUACACAUUUGCUAGAAAACCAAAAUAAUUUGGACUUAAUUAUUUCUUUCAACUGAAGUACUCACUAAAUUUCUACCUUUUUAUUUAAGCAAGAGAGUUGCUAAAAAAAAUGGAUACAUAACCAUGUUGUAUCGUACAAAGCAACCACAUUUCACAUAUAGUCCGGCUUACCAAACACCAUUUUUUACUGAACAUAGCGUACAUGAGUUAAGAGACAUGGAUUUAUUUCUAUUGCAAGUAGCAUAGCGUACAACCUGCCUGCACCGAUGCAGCUCAAUAUGCGAUAAUUUUUAUCUUCCCAUGUAAUUUUUCUACUCUAGUACAUAUUGAACUCCACAUUAAUGUCAUGUUCUUUGGCGCCCCAGACGGUUCCUAAAGUUUGGAAACAAAAUAGAUAGCCAGAAAUUUUUUUAAAAAAUAUUUAUAUGGAUAUUUGUAUGUUCUUUGCAAACUAACAAUAUUGUUUACCAAUAUCAAAAGGAAUAUGGCUAGGAGCCAUUGCCGCAUAUGGCAGGUGAUGGUAGAUGGCGUAUGGGAUUUCGUUAAUUUAAUGGUAUAAUAAGCUGAAAUACAUUUUCUAUUUGCAAAUGAAUCAUAGCUGAAAGUGGUGAGAUUGUUUUUUCGCCGGUUUAGCAUCCUGUGCACCGGUUCAACUGGAGGGAAGCGGUUCACCGAGACGGAUGACAAUUUUACGGCAGAAUCAUUACUUGUUUUAUUAUUAGGUGAAGAUUUUAGCUUUUAGGUAUCUCACAUUAACAAUCUGUUUCUAGUGUAUAAUGUAGGAGACCCGUAAAGAGUCUACACACACAUAUAUAUGUUGACUAUGAAUGUAAGUUUGUUGGUUUUAUGUAUGUUCAUUUGGAGUUUAUAUAAAUUUUACAUUUUAUAGUUUUGUGUAUAUGACGAAGAUCCAUGACUUGCAUUAAUUUAACCUUUCUUCCAACAACUCUUAUGCAUGCUGUUUCUAGGGGAGCGCACUGGUUGCAAUUUUGGUCCCCGAUAUAGCAUGAGGACUUAAGGGAGACGGGCACGUCGUAACCUUAGAUAUUUUUGCAAGAAGCAAAUUAUACUUUGCUUUUGAUUUUCUCCAUGCCAUUUGCUGACUCUUAUCCCUUUUAUUUAUCAUUAUAAGAUGAAAAUAUUGUAAAAACUUGGUUACGUGCGGUCGCAGAAGCUAGAGACUAUUUCUUUUUUUAAAAAUACGCAAGAGGGAGAAACUUGGUAACAGCUAGACAGUGAAGAUCGCAUUUCAUAAGAAAGAUGGUGCACGUUCUUGUUUGGCUGUUAACGAAAUGACUUCGUUUCACCACACCACCAGAGAGCCCCAUUGCACUUGCAGCAAAAGCGUGGAGCCGCUUUCAACCAGCGUGCAAUAAUGCAGUCCCGCGUGUCUUGGUCUUACAGGAUAUUUGGUUCUUUAGUCCGGACUAAAAUUCAUGUCGCAUAGAAUAUUCAGAUGUUAAAUAGGAGGACUAAACAUGAGCUAAUUAUAAAAAUAAUUACACAAAUGGAGGCUAAUUCCCAAGACAAAUCUAUUAAGUCUAAUUAAUCCAUCAUUAGCACAUGUUUACCGUAGCACCGUAUUGUCAAAUCAUGGACUAAUUAGGCUUAAUAAAUUCGUCUCGCAAGUUAGUCUCCAUCUAUACAAUUUGUUUUAUAAUUAGUCAAUGUUUAAUACUCUAUCUAAACAUUCAAUGUGACUGAAAUUUUAGGAGGUCCUAAAGAACCAAACACCCCUUAGUCUCCGCCUGAACUAUAGCAGGUGCUGGCAGCGGUAGCAGGGUCGUCCAUUAUAUCUAUGGAUGGAAAUGAUCUGAUUCGGAUGGAAUCGAAUUCGAAUAGCACUUUUUACCACAUACUAAUCUGAAUUGGAUGUUCUCGAAUGUGAAUGCAAAACGGAUAGUUCAAAUUUGAAUACUUUGCGGAUUUUUGCAUAAUAUUAAUCGAAGAGAAUUUGUUAAAUUUAGCCGAGACAUAAAUUUUUCUAAAUUCAAAUACUUUGCAGAUUUUCGAAUGCAAAUUUUUUCAUACGAUCUCGGUUGAAUACAAACUUUAUAUCAAAGUUGUAUAUUUAGAUUAUAUAUAAAACUUUGUAGUUGACCUCCUUUUCAUUUAAAAUUUUUUAAUAGCUCAAAACAUUAUUCUAAGCUUUCUAAUUUCAAAAUCUUGAAUUUUAAAUUUUUCAAACGACCUCGGAUGCAAACAAGCUCUAUAUCAAAGUGCUUAAUGAGAUAUAAAAUUUUGUAGUUGACAAGUUUUUUAGUUGAAAACAUUUAGUUAUCACAAACAUACAAGUUCUUCAUUUGAUGUCGAGGAUUGGAAGUGUUGAGUUUGAAGAAUAUAUUCUUUGAUUACAAACUUUUCCAUAUGAUCUUGGAUGAAUACGAACUUUAUUUCAAAGUUGCAAAUUUAGAUUAGACCAAAAACAGUAUAGUUUACAAUUUUUUCAUUCAAAAUUAUUUAGUAGCUCAAAAUGUUAUUCUAAACUCUCUAAUUUUGAAAUCUUGAAUUUUAAAAUUUUCAAAUGACCUCGGAUGCAAACAAGCUCUAUAUCGAAGUGGUAGUUCUUAAUGAGAUAUAAAAUUUUGUAGUUCCAUCUGAGAUCAUUUAACAGUCACAAAUAUACAAGUUUUUCAUAUGAUGCUAAGGAUCAGAAAGAUUAAGUUUGAAGGCUGUAUUUUUUUAAUACAAAUUUUUGCAUACGAUCUCGGAUGAAUACAAACUUUAUAUCAAAAUUGUAGAGCUCGAUGAGAAUUUAAACUUUGUAGUUGAUAUAUUUUUCAUUCGAGAAUGUUUAGUGGUCCAAACAUGUAUUAUAAGUUCAGAGAAGAAACACACAAUCGGCCACGUCAUCAAUUGACAACUUCCAAACUGAGCAUUCCUAUUGGUUCACACCUUUCCCUUUCAACUCGUCAAGCUUAUCUCCUCCCACUCCUCCAUCGUUCACUCCCCCUUCCCCUUCCUCUCUCCCUCCCUCCCUCCGCUCCAGCAGUGGCAGCCCGACCUGCCUCCUAGGACGGUGGUGUGCGGGGCUCGGGCAUCCCUGGCCUCUAGUGGCGUGGCAGGGCGGCCUCCAGCAGCGAUGGCGGAACUCGGCCUCCGGUGGCGCACAGGCAGCGCAGCCUACCUGGUCAAAGGCGGCGCAACAGGGCGACCUCCCCAGCCUCCGGCGGCGCGCAGGGCAUCCAUGACCUCCCCGGCCUCCCUUGCCAGAGGUGGUGCGCGGGGCUGCGCCGACCUCCCCAACCAGAGGUGGCAAGGCCCCAGCUUACGGCGGCGCGUGGCUCCCCAGCUAGGGUGUGGUGGGGCGGCGGCAAGUCAGGCGUGGCCGCGUGGGGGUGGGGGGAGGGGGUUGGGCUGGGCGGAUUCAGAUAGUAUCCAUUUAACCAUCCGAAAUGUGGAUAUCCGUUUAACAAUCCGUUUAGCAAAACCGAAUUUGGAUACUUCCACUUAAGUAUCCAACUAGGAUUCGAAUGCGGAUGGUCCUACCAUAUUGUUAUUUCAGCGGAUACGAAUAUGGGAUAAUUCGAAUAACGACUUACCCAUCCCUGAUUAUAUCCGUGUAAAUAAAUAAUUGCGGCAGCAGGUUCCCGUCGCCACGCCCCCGUCAAACCAAACAAUUGCUUGCGCGACACCGUGUUACUAGAUCUUGUACAGUACUCCCUCCGUUGCAGUACUCCCUAAUGAAAGUUGAGAAUCGAUCGACAACCACGGCUAGUUGCUAUGCACUCGAUCAGAUGGUCCAGGCGCCCGCUGGUAAUCAGGUCGUGGUUCACGCGCAUCAGGCCAGCUAUGACGUUGCCAGCAGUGCUCAGUACACAAAUCUAGCUAUCAGUCGGAUCCAAUUGGGCAGGCAUUUGCACUGUGGUUGUGUUUGAACCUGUAGAUGUCGUUGUCAUUAUCAGGCACCAUACAUCCUCUCUCAGAGGGUGUUUCACCCCCUAAACUUUAGCCCCUCUCACAUCGAAUGUUUUAGAUACUAAUUAGGAAUAUUAAACAUAGAAAAUUUACUAAACCCAUUACAUGGAUGGAGGGUAAACGGCGAGACAAAUCUAUUAAAUCUAAUUAGUCCAUGAUUUGACAAUGUGCUGCUAUAGUAACUAUUUGCUAAUGAUGGAUUAAUUAGACUUAAUAGAUUUUUCUUGCUGUUUAGCCUCCGUCUGUGCAAUUAGUUUUAUAAUUAAUUCAUAUUUAGUCCUCCUAAUUAGUCUCCGAAUAUUUGAUGUGACACGGACUAAACUUUAGAUAGCACACCAGGGACCGACACCAUGCAUGCUGAUUUCAUAUCAUAAUUAAGGAAAGUGAUAUCAUAAUUAAGGAAAGUGGUAGCAUCCAAGAAAUCGAUCAUGUUUCUUCCCCCUUUGGCUUUCCUACUAGGAUUUGGAUAGCGGGCCUUCCUACUAGGAUUUGGAAUCCGCUAUCGCAUGACUAUCUUAAUUAUGUCCCAUAGUCCAAAACUCACAAAACAUCAAAAAUCCAUCGAGAAUAAAUUAAGUAAAAAACAUGCGCACACAGAUAAUAAUAAUAAUAAUCAUGUUUCAAUAAAAUUGCUAAGAUUAGAGAUAGUACAUAAACAUAUUAGAUUGUUCGUGACACAUAUCAUGGUGGAUAGUGUCUGUGUCCUUAUUACAAGCAGCGAUAGAUGCUUGUCACCACACACACGCACGCACAGAUGCACGACAUACAUAUAGUUGAGACCAACGGAUGGACGUCCCAUAGGGUGAAUAAUUUAUUGGAGAUAAAUAUUAACAUAACUUGGCCAUAGCUUGAAGCAUAGCAACAUAUGCUUAUGAAUGGCAUUCAUGCGGGUAGCAAUGCUAUCAUAUGCUUUUAGGCUUGUCCUUAGCUUCUUCCAUCUUAUAGCAAACACUGCCAUUUCUUCCAUCUUAGCAGCAACUGUCAAAUUAAUUGAGAUAUGGAAAUCCCAUUAGCGCAUGAGUUAAUUUUGCAGUGGAAAUAGAGUAGAAGAUGUCUUCAUAAUGUAAGUAAUAUGACUCUGACAUAGGGAGUGAAGUCAACAAAUUACAUUAACGGAAAUGCAUGGAAGGCCACGCAUAUGUAUUAGUCCGAUAUGCUACAAAGCUUGUAUGUACAUAUAAUAAAUUAAAUGCAUUGAAUAGAGUGAUUUUAGUGAAUUUACCUAAAUCGGAUUAAAAAACAUGGGAAACAACAAGUGUUCUUGUAGGGCUUUGUUUAGUUCCCAAAUUGGGAGUAGCAAAGUUUGCAUUUUACCAUAAAUGCGCAACUAUAGCAUGUAGCAUUUUGUUUGUAUUUGUGAAUUAUUAUCCAAACAUUGACUAAUUAGGCUCAAAAGAUUCAUCUCGCAAAGUACAACAAAACUGUGCAAUUAGUUUUUGAUUUCGUCUACAUUUAGUACUCCGUGCAUGUACCGCAAGUUUGAUGUGAUGGGGAAUCUUGCUUUUCAAUAGUGACAAAGUUGGGAUUUCGGGGGGAAGGCCUGUGUCGGAGCCACAUGCAAGAAUGGCUGACAUUGAGGCUCAGACAAAGCCCAAUGGCAACUGCUGACAUGCGAUUAAAUUUAGAUAUCCACAUCCAGCCAUUCACAUUUAUGAGAUAUGGACACGGUGCAAAUGGGUGGGGUCCUGAUAUGGAGGUGCGAAUGGCUGUCUACUUGUAUAGUGUAGCUCCAAUGUACGUAUAUGUAUCUUAUGCAUGUAUACAGUUGCACAAACUCUGAACCAACUCUUCAUAACAGGUCUUUGUUACCAAGUAACUUUACUUUUGCACGUUUCAGCCGAGAGGUAGAAGAGAAUAUUUUUGCAUUUUCCAUGUGCGUCAGUGGUAGAGAACUAGGAAUUAGUUCCGGAUGGUAGGGCACAAAUCUUCCAAACAACUAUCCGAAAUUAAGCAAUCGAGAUAAAGGGUGCCAUCUAUUCUCUCCGAAAAACACAGGUACCAAAAAGAAGAAGAGAAGAGGGAGGGCCUCCCGUUAAGGCCCGCUCGGGGUCUCCAUCCCACCACGCGCCCUCCCAACCCAAAGCCCAUCGUUUUCCCUCCGUCCCUCCCCUCUCCAUUGCCGCCGCCGCUCCCCUCAUCCGAGCUCGAUACGGGUGGUCGGCGGCCCCUCCUCUCCGCUCCCGCCCCCGGCCUCCCUUUGACCGCCGGGCGCCGGCAUCACUGCCGCGGCCAACCCCAGGGCGCAGCGCGUGCCUCUAUUUCUCUCCCCCGUUCAAGGGCCCUUUGAUGGCGACGAGCACCCACCCACCAGGUAUGCCCUCCCCUUCUCUUCCUAACCCUAAUAUAUUCGGAUCUCACCCAGUCACAAUAUAUUACCUAAUAGCUUCGAUUUUGUUUGCAAAAAUCAUCACGUGCGCACCCAUGUCCGCUAGAUUCUUGCGCCUGAUCCUGUGCUGCUAUGGUUUGGGCGGGGUAGACUAGUUGAUUCGUGCACUUUUGGGUGCUUGUAGUGCUAGGUUUUGGAGGGGGAUAGCCCAGUUGAUUCCUCCGUUUUGGGUGCUCAUGGUGAUAGGAUUUGGAUGGGGAUAGCCCCAAUGAUUCGUGCGCCUUUGGGUGCUGGGGAUAGUUUUGGGUGCCUGGAUAGUCCAGUUUCAAUGUCAGUAUAUGCGUAUUUUGGGGAGAAUUUUGUUUUGGGUGGUUCUGGUGCUAGAGUUUCUGAUGCUUAGUAGCCCAGUUUCAAUCAAAUUCCCCCAUGGGUCGUGCACUACGGGAAACAAGAAAAUUGCCGAGUGUAUUUUUUUUGUCGAGUGUUUUUUUUCGAGCACUCAGCAAACAAGCUCUUCGCCGAGUGCCAAGUCAAAAACACUCGGCAAAAAAAAACACUCGGCAAAUCGGGGCUUUGCCGAGUGUCAAAUAAAAAACACUCGGCAAAGAAGGGGGUUUGCCGAGUGUUAAAAAAAACACUCGGCAAACAGGAGGGUUUGCCUAGUGUUUUUUUGACACUCGGCAAAAAAAUAAUUGUUUUUCCUCUUUUCACCUUGAAAUUUUUUCUACUCCCCACAUACAACACGUGGUACUCCAUGUUAAAAUUUGGUAUAUUUUUGGAUUUAUUUGCUAUAUUUAUUUAAUUAAUUGCAUUACAAGGAAAUUUUUGGUAUAAGUCAAAUUUGAACUGCAAGUGAUUCAAAUUGUGGAACAAAAUGAGUAGAAAAAUGAUAUUCAUGUUAUUUGGCUCAAUUUGAGACCUGACCCAUGAAAUGAAAAGAAAUUUCGAACAUCUUGUUCAGGAAACACGACAAUGAACAUGUGGCGGUAGUAUUUUUAAAUUGUAAAAAAAACAAGCAAAGUCUGAAAAUCAUGAGAUUUGUAGUUAUGUGAUGAUAUAAUACGUGGAAGCUGUGGAAAAAAAUUGGAAAGGUUUUGCACAUUUCAUCAUGUACGAUGAUUACAAACCGAAGCAUAUCAGAAGAAGAAUAGUAACUUUGAGAAGGAUUCGAUAAAAUUUAGAGUCGAAGUGACGGUCGAGUUCGGUUUGACUACAAAACUUUUUGUAUAGUCAGUAGAGAACAUAUCUUAUUUCGUGUGAAAAUUUGGUAUUUUUUGAAACUGUUGGAUAUUUUUAAUUUUUUUUUAAAAAAACUUUGCCGAGUGUCCUAGGGUAGACACUCGGCAAAGAAAAACUUUACCGAGUGCCCGCCUAGGACACUCAGCGAACCUUUUUUUAAACCUACCGGCUCCGGCCGGCCCAGCCCACAAACACCACCCGCCCCCCGCCCCCGCGCCUUCUUCCUCACGCCGCCCCCGCCCCCCACCCGUGCCUCCGGACCGCCCCCUCCUCCCCCUGGCCUCCCCUCACGCCGCCCCCCUCCUCCCCUAGCUCCCUCCACCGGCGGCCCUCCCUCCCCCGGCGCACAUCCUCCACUCCUCCUCCCCUUCCCUUCCCUCCCCUCCCCUCCCCUCUUCCUCCCCUGGCCGGAUCUGGCGCCCCUAGCUCCCCUUUCUUCCGCGGCCAGAUCUGGCGCCCUCCCGGCGGCGGGUCGUGGCGAUCGGGGCGGCGGCGGCGGAUCAGGCCGCGGGGCGGCGGCGGCGGCGGGUCGUGGCUACCGGGGCGGCGCCCUGCCCCUCCCCUCCCUCUCCAUCUCCGGCUGCCGUCCACCCCCUCCCCGGAUCCGCCCCCCUCCCCUCCGCGCGGCCAGCCCCUCCUCCCUCUCCGGCCGCCGCCCCGGCCCCUCCUCUCCCUUUCUCCGGCCACCGCCCCGCCCAUCUUCUCUGGAUCCGGCCGGAUCCGGCCGCCGCACAGCCCCUCCUCCCCGGAUCCGGUGGGCGCGGACUUCGUGGUGGUGGCGCCGGAUCCCUCCCCUCCCUCUCCAGAUAACUCCCUCCACUCCUCCGCUCUUCCCCUCUCUCGCGCGGCGGCCUCUCUCCGGCCGCCGCCCCGCCCCUCUCCCCGGAUCCGGGGGGGGGGGGACUCCGCCCCUCUGCCCCGGAUCCAGCUCCCCGACCCGCGAGUGGGGCGAGCUUGCUCAUGCGGUCGACGUCGAGGCCAGGGUGUGGUGGAGGUGGUGGCCGGCGGGUGUGGUGGUGGUGGCGGCGGCGGGCAUGGCGGCGCGGAGGCAAGGCACGGCGGCCGGUGGGAGGCACGGGUGCAAGGCGUCGACGGCAGGAGGCAAGGCACGGCAGCAUGGGAGGUGGUGCUGUGGUGGUGGUGCUGGCGGUGGUGGCGGCGGCGGAGCAGGAUGUGGUGGUGGCGGAGGAUGUUUUUUUUUCAAAAAUUUGUUGCCGAGUGUUUUCUCGGCACUCGGCAAAGACUUUACCGAGUGCCCGACACAAAACACUCGGCAACUCAGUGUUUGCCGACUGAAAAAUUGCCGUGUGCCGUUUGCCGAGUGUUACACUCGGCAAACGGUUCGCCGAGGGUUUUUUGCCCUUCGCCGAGUGCCCCUAGCACUCGGCAAUUUCACUAUCUCCCGUAGUGGUGGCUGGACUUAUGGGGGGAUCAUUGAUGGGGGACUAGUUGGAUACUUUUUGGCUGUUUUGGGAGUCCUUGGCAGCGGCUUCUCAGGGCGUACGUAGCCCAUUGUAGAUUCCAGCCGAGAAGAUUAAGGAAUUGUGACUGCAACCAUGUUACUUUUCUAGGACUCUGUUUCUGAUAUUGUUCCCGCUGCAUCUUUUCAUCCCCAUGGUGAAUGUUGCUGUUGAUCUGUAGAUUGGAUUUGUUCCUCGGUAGCUUUAUUAGAUUUGUGCUGAAUGAUAAUCUCUGCCUGUGAUAUUUUUCUUCAUUGCGGAUGUGUGCCGAGUAUUAUCCCCUUUGUUCAUUCUGUUGGCUUUUUUUAUUGUCUCUGUACUCGGCUGUUCAGCUUGUGCAGCUAAUGAUCUAAUGUAUUUUGUCGUAACUAUGUAUUUUUCGGAUGUGUGCCGAGUAUUAUCCCCUUUGUUUAUUCUGUUGGCUUGCUUUCAUUGAUCUUAAGAUAACUGGUGCUAUAAAUUCACACUAGCUGAUGCACUUGCAAAUAGCUAUGUAAAUAUGAAAAGAAGUAUUUUUUUAUCCUUUUGUUUGUUUGGCAUCAUAUCUGUUUAAAUGGCAUAGCAAUAAGAAUUUUUUGUUUUUGGGGAAUCAUAUCUGCUUAAAUGGUAUAGAAAAUGCUGAGUGCACUGUCAAAUAGAUUUUCCAGCAGUCUGCUUUCAGUUGUUUUUGCAAAUCCUCACAGGCCAGUGAACUGACUUUGUUUUUACCACCCCAUGCCAUUUAAAUGACUAAAUCAGUCAGCCUAAUACUAUAUAUGGUCAUGCUAUGAUCUUAUUUCUUGAAGCUCUAUAGGUCAACCCAUAAGGGUAACUUAGUUUUUCCUAUUCUGGCUGGGGAAGUGGAUACGAUGGCUAUCCUUGGUAGAGUUAAAUACAUUGGCGGCUCUUAGCGCGCCAAUGUGGCACCACAAUAUCGAACAUAUGUAGAAACCCCCUUGUUUUUUCUCAUAUCCCUCUCUCUCAGCGUCCUCUUCUCUUCUUCUCCUCUGUCUCCUCCCCUCCCAUCGCGUGCUUUAUUGCGCCGCCGCCAUCCGCCUCCAUGUAUGAACACGUCGUUUGUCAUGAAGAAGCAGUUGAUGAGGCAAUCAAGCAUGUGGUGCACAAGGUUCUUCUGCUGGCCAAGUCCGAGUCGAACAGCCGCGCAUUCAUUGGGGAAGCACGCGCCAGGCAUCACCAGGCUCCUCGUGCCCCUACUCUGCUCCAAGGACUCGGUGCUUCGACGCGCUGCUUUCCCUGUCCGGCGAGCGGGGAUCGUUGGGAGAUGAUCGAUGGAGGAUGGAGCUGAUCCUCCUGUACACGGUGCCGGUGGGGAGCAGGGAGCUGCGGAGCAGGUCCACGGGCGGCGCCAUUACAGCAGGUGCAGGCUAAGGGUAAUGAGCAGAUCGAGGCGAUGGAGGAGGACCCGCACGAGGUGCAGCUUCUUCGCCUCCUGCGCAAAGUCAGCGCCCAAGCAGCCGCUGAGGGACAGGCCGAGGCUUAGCUCGAUCUCAUCCGACUAAAUGGUGGCUGCACUCCCACAGUCCCACUGGUGCUCCUCCCUUCUGUCCGAACCUGCCGAGGAAAUCCCUCGAUGCCAUGGGUCCCGGCUGGACGACUACUCCUCCCACAGAUUGACUGAGGAAGAAGAGCUUCUCAGUGUCCAAAAAUUCAGUUACACUGGAAACAGCAACCAAUUACGUUCUUCCGGCUCAGCCAAGCCCCAAUCUCCUUGCUUCUGUGCGCCCCUGCUAAAUAUUCCAGAAACCAAUCUGGUUAGUUGUUUUUUCACAUUUUCAGUGCAUGCCGGUGCUGCUGUGUGCGGCAUGCAUGGAGUUGUCGUGGGAGUGCACGGUGGCUUAGCUGGUGCGCCAGUGCGCGGGCACGAACACAACGGUGAAGAUGGCAGGGCCAUCUCAAAGCUCCUGAGCACCUGCACGCGUCGCUGAGCAGGACAUGCUGCGACGGUGGGCGAGCGCUGCUAACGCCCUGGGGAAGAGCAGUGGGUGCAGAGAGAGGGAGCGAGGGAGAGGGGUUCUUGUAUAUGUUUGCUAGCGUGGCACCGUUUACGGUGCCCGCCUAAGUGGCAUUCACGUGUCAUUCAUCCCAAAUGGUGUUGCAAGGUUGAACCUAUUGUGGGAGGCUUUUGGUUUCCCUUGACAGUAUCACCAGUGAUAUCACUGCGUUCUGGUUAUGUAUGAAACACUUGUCCUUUUAAAACCUUUCUGAAUUUAGAAACGAAUUUGAAACAUUACCCUCAUUUCCAUGUUUUUCUAUCUUUUGUCCCUGUAAAAUCAAACUAAAUUUGAAUUAUUAUGUUCAGAACUACAAGCUGAUUUACUUGUCCCAUUUGCUAAUAACAGGGCCUUGUGAUUUCUAAUGAACAUUGCAGAGCAUGUUAUAAAGCGUAUGCAUGAACACCAAGGGGAUGAAACCAUUGGUAUAUUUCUCACAACCUUUUGAACUUAUCAUUUAGCAUAUUUGUGUUCUAGUGUGACGUUUCAGCCACGAGACAUGAGAAAUGUUAGCUAUGGAUUUUGGUUAUUCAUCAUGGGUUCACAGAUUUGUUUUUCUCUAAAAGAAUUGGGAAGUAGCUUUCUUUCUGGGUAUAUGUGGGGAAAUGCAUAUGCAAUCUUUUAUUUAUUGAGGUGACUGUAAAAUUCUUGUCUGACUGAAUAUGCGAUUUCAACCUACAUGCUAUACUUAGGGAAAUUUGUGAAUCUCCUAAUGUCUGCUGCAUGGCAUGAAUGCAUAUUUUACUGGUCCAUAAUGUGAAGUUCUGUAUAUAAACUUCUCGUGUUGACCCUUUAGAACAUGCUAACUGGAGAGUUUUCUAGAGUAGUUAAACAAGAGAUUUAGUUAAAUCUGCACACAUAGGUGGGGCCUGGCAUACCCUAAGAAUCGGCCUAGCCGGUCAGCCCAUUAGUAAAAAAAAAAGCACCGCAGUCAGCAGUCCCCACGUUGGUCUUCCUCGAGUCGCGACUCGCGAAGCUCCCAUCCUCCGAGUCCAAGAUGGUGGACUGUGUCGAGCGCGGGGCGGGCGAUUAGUUGCCCGGCCGCCGGCGGGGGAUGGCCGGACGGCCAGAUCGCCGACUCCUCUAGUCCUCCCUCCAGCCUCUGCGCUUCUUUCACAGUGGAGCUAGCGGCGAGGCGCCCGACCGACACCCUUCUUCCCAAAUCCCGGCAGCCCUACCUCGAUUUGGCCUCCUCCGAUCAUUUGAUAAUCAAUUUGAUGAAAUUAAUAUGGAGUUGCUUUCUUGUAUGGUUGCCUUCAAUCCUGCUAAUUCAUUUGCUUCAUUUGAUGCACAAAAGAUACAUAGACUUGCUAUAUUUUUAUCCACAAGACAUCACAAGCACGGAUUUGCUAAAACUUGAAUUCCAGCUCGAUAUUAUAUUGAUGAUGUGAGAUAGGAUGAUAGUUUCAAAGGCCUACAAGAUCUUGUUAACUGAGACUCAGUUAAGCUUGUUGAAACAAACAGGCAUAAUAUUUAUGACUUGGUUUACUUGCUUCUCAAAUUGGUAUUGGUUCUUCUUGUGGCGACAGCUAGUGUUGAAAGGGAUUUUUGUGCAAUGACUUUGAUCAAGAGUAAGCUAAGAAAUAAGAUGGGUGAUAGUCUUUUGGAUGAUUGUCUUAUCACAUUCAUUGAGAAAGAUAUUUUCUUUGAAGUGGAUGAAGAAGAUAUAAUUAAGACUUCAUAUCCAUUAGAAAUCGUAGGCUGGAGAAGAAGUAAUAUUUUAAUUUUCUUUGAACGUUAGGUCUGUAAGCUUCUUUUAAACUAUCUACAUUAUAAUUUAUGGACCUUUUAAUUUAACCGUUGAAUUCAUGAUAUUAUGAGAUUUUUUUAUCUAUGUUAUUAUUGUUUACCGAUUUAUUACCAAAUUAUUAGUUUGAUCUUACAAUAUUGUAUUUUGGAUGAUUGGCUCGGCAUACUCUAAGUUUAAAUCCUAGCUCCGCCACUGUUUGCACAUUAAUGUGGCUUAUAUGUGUGGAGUCACUUAACCUAUGCACUUGGACCUCCACUCCCUUAGGUUUUAUGAACCUAAUUUGACAGCCUGCUCGUCUUUUAUUUUCUACCAAUCAGCUAGGAACGAACAUGGUGAUGUUUGCAUCUCUGCCAUCAAUGGCUUACAUGUCAUUAUGUAUCACAUUAGCAAGUCUUGUUUUGUUAUUGGCUGGGAUGACGGGGACUCUAGCUGGAAUUGAAUCAAAGUGGUAGAUCACAGGGUAUUCAUUGCCAUGUAUUUCUGCAGUUGCAUGGACUUGCAUCAAACGGACCUUCCUACUUAUGUGAUUGUCCUAUAUGAUCUCCUUUGAUUUCAUUUGCACACUGUAAUCACAUUAGCUAGAACACUCGCUUUUUGCUUCAAAUUUGAAAUUCAUAUCAUGAUGGACUAGAACGCUGAAUUUCUUGAUUGCUGAGUUACUAAUCACAUUGUGGCGCUGCCAAAGAAGCUGGACUCUUCAUUGUUGUUGCCUUGUGGGCUGCCGUGUGCAAAGAACAAGAGCGCACGGUAUUAUAAUAGCAGAGCAGAACACAGACAAGCGACAAGGAGCGGAGCAGAGCAGAGCACAGCCAGGCACAAGCAGUAGAGUAGAGCAGAGCAACCGGGAGAGGAGAGGGCACAUAUGCAGAGUAGAGCAGAGCCAAGCGCAAGCAUUCAUGCACUCAAGCAUGCAGCAGAGGUGUAGCAAGGCAAGCACAAGCAGCAGAGCAGAGGGAAGGGAAGGCUGGGAGAUGAAUAGGCGAAUAGUUACCUGGACAGAGCAGAGGGAAUGGAGAUGAUGCAGAUGCUUCCGGAGACUCGAGAUUUGGAGAGGAACAAGGCCACGUUGUGAACAAGGUCUCCUUUCUCUUCUCUAUUUCCCGCGCAAGUACUUGUGCAUAGUGGCUGCCUCAUCCUCCAGGACGUCCACUUCAACCUGAGGCGGGUGCCACAGACAUCCUGGCUAUGCGACGGCUACCCCCAGCACACCCCCGGCGCCUAUGAACCAUGAUCCUAAUACUAUAAAUUGUCAACCUUGUAAUCUUAUUUCAAGCAUGCUCUCUAUGUCAACCUGUAAGGUUAACUUCGUUUUUCCUUUUCUGGGUAGGGGAGUGGAUAUUGCUGUUAUUUAUAUUAUGUUGAUAUUGGUUUCCACAUGUCAUUCACCCCAAAUGUGUUGCAAGGUUGAACCUAUCAUCGGAGGAAUUUUUUUCCCUUUACCUUUAUAUCACUACGCUCUGGUUAUGUAUGAAACACUUGUCUUCUUAAAAACCUUAAUUUAGAAACAAAUUUGAAACACUAUCUUCAUUUACAUCCUGUAUGUGUUUUCUACCUUUUGUCCUAUAUGAUCUGCUUUGAUUUGAUUUGUGCAUAGUUUUUUCAAUUCAGACCUGGUGAUUUCUGAGGUUCAUGUUGUGCUGAUAAGCAGCCUACUAUUCAGUAACACUUUCAUGUGGCAUGUUCAUGUUAGCUAGCUAGAAACACUGCUUUUAGCUUCAAAAUUCAAAUUCAUGACAUGAUGGACAUUGACAAUGAAUUUCUUGAUUGCCGAGCUAUGUACACUGUAAUUCAGACCUGGUGCUUUUAGUUUUUUUCUUGAUUGCCGAGCUAGAAACACUGUGCUUUUAGUUUUUUCAAUUCAGACCUGGUGAUUUCGGUUUUUUCAAUUCAGACCUGGUGAUUUCUGAGGUUCACGUGUCACACCGAUUUUAAGAACAAAAUCGAGUGCAUUAAAUAUACAUGUACGCUAGGAUCAGGUUACACACAUGUACGACAUAAGCGAAUAUCAAAGACAAUGCCAUAACGAAAUAAAGAGAGUAUUAAUCAUUAUUACAUGACCGAAAGUCUCAAAUAAACCACAAAAUCUAUUUAUUACAUAGCGGAACUUCUAAGAUAGCAACGUCUCCACAGGCAGCUGACUGAAGAACUGUAUGCCUAGAACUCUUCAAAAUCGUGCAGGUACUCCUCCAGAUUAGCUUGGUAUGAACAACGGUUUUGCAAGGGUGAGUACACUUAUGGUUGGUACUUAAUAAGUCGUGGGAAACAAUGUAGUGUAAGGCAAAUCAAGGUAUGGCUAAGGCUUAAACAGCAUCAGCUUUUAAUUUAGUUGGUCAAAUUUUAUUAGCAAUUAAUUAGACGUAAAUUUAUACCACCCGAAAUUAAACAAGAACAUGAAUAAAAUAAUAACAUAACCAUAAAUGAAAUGACAACAAUUUAAAUCCAUCUUUUCAUAGCAUUAUCAUGUGAGGGUCCAGUCCGUUCUUAACCGUGAGCACCGCUGAUCGAUCAGUUUUACACUCUGCAGAGGUUGUACAUCUUUACCCACAAGUCGCGUAAAAGUUCAAAAGAAUUUUGGACCCAACCAUGCGGUAUUUGCAAGGCACCAUACCACACUUCCAAGGUGUGAUUGCAUAUGAACGCUACGAGGCCUUUACAAAGAUUCAUUAGUAAGUGGUAACCCGCUAAGGUUUCGGUAUUUGGCGUGCACAACCUAUCACAGGCCGCUAAUGCAACGACUCAGUCCCCCCUCUUGCCUCAUCACGAGUAAGAUUACCCCAGACUAAGGUUUCUAAUUAUUCAGCCAAGAUCAGAACCAUUUAGUCUUGUGGUAGCACUGUUUUCCUGGGUGGUUCUCCAUGUUCCGAUUAAACAUAAUGGUCUUGUAUUAAUGGAAGGUAUAACAUAAAUAAUACCAAAUUAAUAAUAAUUCAGAUUAAAUCACCAUAACCAUAUUUGAGCACUAAGCAUGAGCUACCCAACAUAAAUUUAACCCGGUUGGUCAAGGCAAGGUAGAUAAAGUCUAGGAAAUUCUUAAUUGGGACCCAUCAAGUUUAAAUUAUACUUUGCAUGGUAUGUUGCAUAGAACAUGAAAGUAAAUGUGAAUAGGACUGAAAAGGAGUGAUUAGGGACACGACUUGCCUUUUUAACCUUGUUCUUGCUGUUCGUACUCUUCGAAAACUUUGAUCUUCAAAUCCCUUGAACUGCUGACCGUCUACACGCGUCACACGACCACAUACAAGCAAACAAAUAUAAUACAUAAGAAAACAGUACACCAAUCAUAAUUAAAUAGAAGAAACAAAUUUGAAAAGCUAUUCUACGCAUUAAAACGAAAACACGGAUACAAGGAACGUUAAAAACGGAGCUACAGUGCAAAAACUACGCUUAAAACAAGAUGCAGGGGUAUAACUACGAGAAACCAAACUUCCAGGGAUUUAAUUUUAAAUAAUUUUGAACUGCAGAAGGGGCAGCAGGGCAAAACGUAGAAAAUGCAGGGGCUUAAGCGCAAAAGCAUGGCUGCUGACUCAGCUGACUUGAUGUGGAUCGUCGGAUGGCGAUCCGGCGGCCGGCAGCUGCUGCGCUGACGUCAGCGACGGCGAGCGCCGGCGAAAAACGGCAGUUCGCCGGAAUCGCCCGGGAACGCGCGACUGGGUGCAGAUUUGAGCGAGGAUUAGACUAGCAGAUAGAAACGAGCGCAGUGAACUCAUUUGGGAUGCCUACGGCGAGGACUUGGCGACGGCAUCGGCUCCGGCGAGAACUUGCGGCAGGGAAACCAAAUAAAAUAAAAUAACACGGUUCAGAGAAGCGGCGCUGGAGGAACGCGAGCGAUUUUGCGUGCGAGCGGAAGAAAACACUGCGAGGAAGAUGACUGCGGGCCCUGCUUGUCUGCGGCAGGAGGAGAGCUGCGUGCGAGAAGAACCUGGCCACGAUCUGGGCCGUUGCCUUCGAUCUGGGCCGAGGCAAGCUAGCUGGCCCGCUGCUGCGGAAAGGUGCUGGGCCACGGGCGGAGCACAGCGUCGGGCCAGAAAGGAGAUGGCUGCUGCGAGGAAACAAAAGAAAAUGAACUGGGCUGCGACAGAGGAAAACUGGGCGUCGGCCAGAAAGAAGCUGCGUGCAGCUUGCUCUUGUUUCCGAACUAGAAACAGGAACUGACGGAAAGACAGAAAUCAAUUGGAGACUGAAACUGACGCCCCAGACUCUGAACUUCGAAAAAACAGGACAACCAGCCAACUGACAGAAAAAAAAAAGCUUAACAACCCAAAAGCAGUACACAACCACGAAACCAGGCCACAAGACUGAAAAAGCUUGAUAGGAACAUCUGGCGACUGAACCAAAAAACUACAGAACUGCAACUGAAGAACUAGAGAACAGAUAAAUAACUGAUUGAACUCUGAAACUGAAACACCAAAGAGCAGGAAGCUGACUGACGGAAAAUGCAAAACAGCAACCCAAGGUGAAACACAAAUUCUUCUUCAAGCAUUCAAACAAAGAGAUAUGCAACAGCAUGAAUGCUCAAUAAAAUCCUAUAUUUCAUUAAUUAAUUAGAAAAAAUGCUCAAAUGCCUAGAAAAAUGCAAAAGUGACCUUAUAUGCCUUAAACAAGCAAAUUCGUUUCUAGCGAUUUUUGGUAAAAUGCAAAAUUAGAGAUUUUGGGUGUUACAUCAUGUUGUGCUGAUAAGCAGCCUACUAUUCAGUAACACUUUCAUGUGGCAUGUUCAUGUUAGCUAGCUAGAAACACUGUGCUUUUAGCUUCAAAAUUAAAUUCAUGACAUGAUGGACAUUGACAAUGAAUUUCUUGAUUGCCGAGCUAUGUACACUGUAAUCACAUUGUGGGGCUGAUAAAAUAAGCAGCGUUGAGACACAUAACAAUUGAAUCUUAAGCUUCACACAGAAUCUGGACCAGUCAUCCUCAUUCCUGUCAUGCUGGAAAUGUCUUUGAUACAUUUCAAUCACAGGCAAUUGAAUUCGUACUGGGGAGGAUGGCAAUGGUGCAUGAAGAGAGAUCAAUGUGGCAAAUCUCACAUUGUUCAUUACCAGGUAUCUCCGAUUUCUGGUUAUUUUAAAUUUACCUUGACAUGUGACUUAUUGAGGUAUUGUAUUUCAUCUAAUGGUAGUUCUGAAUUUAUGGUAACCUUGGAUGGGGUUUGUCACUUUAUACACGCACGGACUUACAAAGGACAGCAAAUGAGUAUAUUUAGAGGGCUCCUGUCCAACCAUGGACUAUACUUAUGUACCCUUUUUUGACAUGGUAAUUUGAGGUUAAUGGAAAAGUAGCGAUAGUCGCCUCCAGCGAAGCUACCUUCUUCGAAAGCUCCGAGGCUGCUUUCUCGCUCUUAGCAAGCCGAUCCCUCGUAAUCAUCGAAGAGUAAGAGACCUACAGAUUUUAAAAACCAAGUUACCAAAAAUAACGAAGUAAAAGACAACACUCGCAAGACAAACCACCAAACUAUCUCAUAAUUGUACCUUCUUUACGAGGUUCGCCUCCAAGUUAAAGAGCUCUUCCAAGAUCAUUGACUUCACAGCUUGCUGAAAAUCUAUGCGCCAAAGGAUAUAGUCGUAAGCAUAAAAUAAAAAUUGGUAAAAACCAAGGACAGCAAAGCCAUCUACAAGCUGUUCUUACCCUCAUACUUUCGCACCUCAACGGCGAUCGGAACAACCUUCUCUCUAGCCUCGCCCUUAGACGCCACCACAAUCUUCCCGCCACACAAAUCCACAACCCCUCCUUUACCUUUGCCCUCUCCCGAAGUCGUCGUGCCCGCCUUCUCCACCCUUUUUGAACCGCCAACAUCUGCAUAGCGCUCGCAACCUUCACCUUCAGCCCCCCAGACCAAAGACAGGUUGUGAGGAUUAUAAACCCUACCUUCGGCGCAUGUAGCUAGAAUCUCCGUGCGCCCGCUCAAGCCCAGACACUCAUUCAGUCCCUGAAGCCCCGCCGGCAACCUCUCACCUACAUCAUAACAUUCAACUUUUAGCCUCACAUGAUCCUCACAACUAACCUUACCAACGCCCCCCAUAGUUUCUUCCAAGUCCUUCAAAAAUUUCGUUGAGGCCUCACCACAAUCAAAGAACCGUAGCAUCGAUAGAAACACCUCUACAUGCUUACCAGAUCUCACAGCUUCGGCACACCCACCCUUUGGAUCAGAUGAGAACGCAUCCACAAGCUUCGCCUUUUCGGUGGCAAACCCCCUCUCAAGUUUCCCAACAUCAGUCAAGAGAUGUUGCGCGCUCUUAAACUUCGAGCUUAUGGAAGGCACCGUGAUCUUGGUACCAGCUGCCGAAGACGCGUCAACCUUGGCACCCGUAACAGUAACAGGAGCAAAUCGAGGUUUCUUGGCGCCUCUUUUGAUCCGUGCGGCGGGCCCGGUGGAUGAAGGUGCAAGAGCUGGAACCUCCUUAGGAGGGCGCAUAGAGACAGGAACAACAUAUGCCGGAUUGCUCAAGUCGCCAGACGAAGCUGUCGACCACGAUGGCAACAUAGCAGACGAAGCCCCCGCGGUCAUUUCCUUCCUUUUUUGCGCCUCCAAAUUCAAGGUCUUUUGCUUCGCCUUAGCGGUCACUUGCAAUUCAAUAGUGAGCUUCACCAUGGGUACGAAGUCAAAUUUUGCCUUUUUCCUCUGCUCAAGACUAGCACCGCGACGGCGCCUCUUGCCCGUAACUUUGGGGUGAGGCAGAACCACAAUAUCAUACAAGUCAAAAAUCUAAGAUGAUGACAUUCCAUUUGUAUCCAUGAUUUAUAUUGUGUUCCUUGAAUAUCCAUUAAAGUCUACUUGAAUUGAUUUGCAAUUAUGUGAAUUGUAUGUGAAACUCUUUCCUUGUAUGGUUAUUCUAAAGUUGUCCCUAGUCGGAGUUCAUGUGAGGACACAUGAAUAUUAGACUAGCACAUGUAUUAGUUGAUGACUAUGUUUCACAAGUCAUGGACAUGAAGAUGUGGAACUAAUAAUGUGGGCACAUGUGGAGACACGUGCUAGGACUGACCCAACACGAGAAGUAGUUCUCUCUUUAUACAACAUAUACGCUUUGUCCUUAGACCUGAGAUUGUCGCAUGUACUCAAGAUGUGGAUCGACUUACUUAGGGGCUAUCAAAUUCUACGCCGUAACAGGGUAGUUAUAAAGGUAGCUUUCGGGUUUGUCAAGAAGCAUGCUAUGAGACAUGGUCAAUCAAGAUGGGAUUUGCCCCUCUCUGAUUGAGAGUGAUAUCUCUGGGCCCCUCGAGUGAUCGGAUCCGAAAAUGCAUGGCCAUGCUACAUACGAUUAAGAGUUAGCCUACAAAAGGAUUCCGAAUCAUAGGAUCGAGAAAGAGCGGUCGGCUUGAAGCUAGACCAAAUAUCGUGAGGCAAAGGGAAUAGCAUGUAUAUAAUGUUGUGAUGGUUCGUCUGAUAUGAUCUUCGUGUGCGUAUAGGAGUUGGCACGUCUUGCUAGAGGUCGCUACCGACUAUUGGGCCGAGUAGGAGUACUCAGGCCAUGUCUAUACGUAUCCGAACCCAUAGGGUCACACACUUAAGGGGCUGGAAGCCCAAUUCGGAUGUGAUCCGAAUUGGAUUAGGUUUAGAAGUACUAAUGGGCCUUGGACCUAGAGGCCCGUUAGGAACCUCUAUAAAUAGAGGGGUGGGGGCGCCCUAGGGUUUACACCUUUUUGGUGAAACACAUCUGCCGCGCCUCCCACGCCUUCGCCUGUUGCAACUCGCGGACCUAGCAGUCCGGCUUGCGACGCUUCCUCCCUGCACGUGUGGAUACCUUGGAAGUGUUGCUCCUGCAGCACUUGGACGAGCCGCCAACGAGCCACGACGAGCCACGAUGAGCCGACGAUGAGCCGCGGCACGAGGGGGAUCUUGCUGCACGUGGACGAGCUGCUGAGGAGCUGCUGGACGUCGAUGUGUUCGACUACGUACGACUACGCUGAUCGACUUCGCUGCAUCAACGCGAAUCUACAUCUUCCGCAUCAUUGCAUCGAGUGGUAAUCCCGUGAUCCUGAUACGGCAGUUUUCCUAGUUUACGCGGUAGAAAAUUUUGUUUUGUGCUAGUGUAGCCUAACUCAUAUCCCAACAACGUGUGCUAUAGGUCACGCAAGCCUGAAAAUGGCCACACCGGACACCGGGUACGAAAACAUGGGGGAUGGACCGAACAUUUGAAAAUGGCCUCCAUAUGUGUUUUCGGCUAUGAAAAUGUGUGUUAUAGGUCACAGAAGCUUGAAAACGGCCGCACCAGCCACUAGGGACGAAAACGUGGGGGAUGGACCAAAGACAUAAAAAAUAGCCUCCAGACGCGUGUUCGGCCAUGAAAACGUGUGGUAUAGGUCCUGGAAGGCCAAAAACAGCUACACCGGCCACCUGGGACGAAAAAGUUUGUGUAAGACCGAACACUUGAAAAUAGCCUCUGGACGCGUGUUCGGCUAUGAAAAGGUGUGUUAUAGGUCACACGAGCCCCAAAACAACCACAGCGAACACCAGCUACAAAAACAUGGGGGAUGGAUCGAAUAAUUGAAAAUGGCCUCCAGACGUUUGUUCGGCCAUGAAAUCGUGCGUUAUAGGUCGCGGGAGCCCGAAAACGGCCACACCGGCCACCGGGAAUGAAAAUGUGGGGGAUGGACCGAACAAUUAAAAAUGGCCUCCGGAUGUGUGUUCGGCCAUGAAAACGUAUGUUAUAGGUCACGGGAGCAUGAAAACGGCCGCACUGGCCACUGGGGACGAAACGUGGGGGAUGGACCGAAGACGUGAAAAUAGCCUCCAGACGCAUGUUCGGCCAUGAAAAUGUGUGCUAUAGGUCAUGCAAGGCCAAAAACAGCUGCACCAGCAACCGGGGACGAAACCAUGGCUGUCAAACCGAACGCUUGAAAAUCGCCUUCGGACGCGUGUUCGGAUAUGAAAACAUGUGUUGUAGGUCACGCGUGCCCGAAAACGUCCACAACGGACACCGGGUACAAAAACGUGGGGGAUGGAUCGAAUAACUGAAAAUGACCUCCGAACGCGUGUUCGGCCAUGAAAACGUGUGUUAUAGGUUGCGGGAGCCCAAAAAUGGCCACACCGGCCACCGAGGAUCAAAACGUGGGGGAUUGACCGAACAAUUAAAAAUGGCCUCCGAUUGUAUGUUCGGCCAUGAAAACGUGUGUUAUAGGUCAUGGGGGCCCAAAAAUGGCCGCACCAGCCACCAAGGACGAAAAUAUGGGAGAUGGACCAAAGACAUGAAAAUGGCCUCCAGAUGCAUGUUUGGACAAAAGUGUGUGCUAUAUGUCGUGCAAGGCCAAAAACAGCUACACCAGCCACCGGGACAAAAACGUGGGUGUUUGACUAAACAAGUGAAAAUGGCCUCCGGAAGCAUGUACGGCUAUGAAAAUGUGUGCUAUAGGUAAUGGAAGGCUAACAAAAGCUACACCGGCCACCGGGGACAAAAUCAUGGGUGUCAGACUGAACACUUCAAAAUGGCCUCCGGACGCGUGUCCGGCUAUCAAAACGUGUGUUAUAGGUCAUGCGAGCCCGAAAACAACCACACUGAACACCGGGUACAGAAACAUGGGGGAUGGACUGAAUAACUGAAAAUGGCCUCUAGACGCGUGUUCGGUCAUGAAAACAUGUGUUGUAGGAUGCGGGAGCCCGAAAACGGCCACACCGGCCACCAGGGCAUGGACCAAACAAUUGAAAAUGGCCUCCGGAUGUGUGUUCGGCCAUGAAAACGUGUGUUAUAGGUCACGGGAGCCCAAAAAUAGCCGCACCGACCACUGGGGAUGAAAUCGUGGGGGAUGGACCGAAGAUGUGAAAAUGGCCUCCAGAUGCGUGUUCGGCCAUGAAAACGUGCGCUAUAAGUCAUGUAAGGCUAAAAAUUGCUACACCGGGACUAAAGCAUCCCCCAUGAGUUACAAUAAAAGGAUUGUAUCCUCUACUCAGUCGGAUGUACUGUGUAGGUGAGAUGGUAAGGAAGCUAUGCGCGAGGUUUGAGGUUGUGGGUUGAAAUCCUACGCACCGCGCGCACACGCGCAUAUUUUGUGUGAAAAAUCAUGUGACUUGUGAUCGGCCAAGGAGAAGUGGGUGCAGCUGUGGCUUAAGUGGCUGAGGCACGCUGCCAUAGACAUCUCCGAUUUGCUCGAAGACUACCAAGACACUAGCAAUAACAAGAACUACUGCUCUUCCUAGCAGACUCUUUACAACCACUUUAAAGCUGUGCAUUUCUCAAUGUAAUUUCGUAGAAGGCAAUCGAUCCAACCAAGCGACUAAAUCAUUUGUUCUUGCCAAUGAUGUACAUCAGGUUUUCUAUAUGAAGGACAUGUCUAGCAAACCUAAGAUUUUAGAAGAAAAAGAAAAAUUAUGGGAGUCAAUAAUAAAUCAGGCCAAUCAGGAGAUUAUAGUAAGCUCGAUGGUAUGCCUCCAUUCGAUGUCGAAGUUGGCCCAAGCAUCAUGUUAGCCAAAGAUCAAAUGUUCGUGCAUUGCUACGGUAAAGAUCAAUUGUGUCUUUUAAACCCAUGGAAUUUUUUAUCUAUGUUUUUAUUACACUUAAUGGAUGUCUACACAUUUGCUAGAAAAUCAAAAUAAUUUUGACUUAAUUAUUUCUUUCAACUCAAAUACUCAUUAAAUUUCUACCUUUUUAUUUAAGCAAGAGAGUUGCUCAAAAAAUGGAUACGUAACCAUGUUGUAUCAUACAAAGCAACCACAUUUCACAUAUAGUCUGGCUUAGCAAACACCAUUGUUGUCUUAACAUAGUGUUCAUGAGUUAGUAGACAUGGAUCUAUUUCUAAUUGCAAGUAGUGCAGCGUACAACCAGCCUGCACCGCCGCAGCUCAAUAUGCGAUAAUUUUUUAUCUUCCCAUGUAAUUUUUCUACUCUAGUACAUAUUGAACUCCACAUAAAUGUCAUGUUCUUUCACGCCACAGACGGUUUCUAAAGUUUGGAACUAAAUAGAUAGCCAAAAAUUUUAAAAAAAUAUUUAUAUGGAUACAUGUAUGUUCUUUGCAAACUAACAAUAUUGUUUACAAUAUCAAAAGGAAUAUGGCUAUGAUCAUUGCCGCAUAUGGCAGGUGAUGGUAGAUGCCGUAUGGGGUUUCUUUAACUUAAUUGUAUAAUAAGCUGAAAUACAUUUUCUAUUUGCAAAUGAAUCAUAGCUGAAAGUGGUGGGAUUGUAGAACCGCCGGCCAUCGUGUCCUUGUAGGACCGCUGCACGAGCCUGUGAGCCACCAGCCACCAUGCGCCCAAGGGCCAUCACCACGCCAUAAGAGGAUGCUGUCUACCCGGUUUCGCGCGCCUGUGCUAGCUGCCUGAACCUGGGCCGCCGCCGGUCGCCUGCCCAGCCGCGCGUUGCGCCAGGGUUUUGCUGGUGACGACCAUGGCCUUCGCGAUCAAAUUAAAAAGUUAUCAACUGCAAAGUAUUAGGUCUCGUUGAGCUCUACAAUUUUGAUAUAAAGUUUCUAUUCAUCCGAGAUCAAAUAAAAAAUUUGAUACUCAAAGCAUAAAUCCAUUAAUCUAGUCUUGCUAAUCCUUACCACCAAAUAAAAAACUAGCAUGUGUUGUGUGUUUGUGACCCUAAACGAUCACAAAUGAAUAACUUAUGGGCCUUGCUAGCGCCCGGAUGUCCAGGCCGGGGCACUAGCAUCAGACCCACGAGUAGCCGUCCGAUCAGGUUCGACACCACUUCAGGAUCUGGCUUAAAAAGAAGUCCCACCGAAACAUUGUUCCAUGUUGCAUGAAGCAACCCACUACCGUCGCCAGGUCUAGAGCAAGCACCACCUUCAAAUGUGCUGCUCACCCUAGCUAAAUAGGGGCAUUAAAAUAUUUCUCGCAUAUCCUUCUCAAAUUAAACAAAAUCGCAACAUCUGAAAAUUUUUACAGAAAACCAUGAAACAUAUCGAUUAGAUAGAUGUAACAAGAUGGAAUAUGGUAUAUGCAACAUAUAGGUUCCGAAAAGCAGAUGAAAUAUUAUGUAAUGAUUCUUGAAACAGUCAAGAAAAAUAGAUGUAACAUCUAAAAUUAAGAAAAGAAGCUUUAUGCAAAUUGCAAAAAGCUGAAACAAGUGGUUGAAACAUUUCAAAUCACCAAAUGCCACAUUUGAAAUGACCAGAUGAAACAUCACGAAAUCAAUUGCAACAGUUGAAGAUGAAAACAUUCAAAUGCCUUGCCUUUCUCCAAAUUUGACCCUCCAAGCAUGAGUCCAGCCAUUUGCACAUUAGACCCUUGGGAGGAGCUCACCGGAGAACAACAAGACCGUGUUAUCCAACAAUUUUCAGAUCAAAUUGCAACAUAAAGAACAAAGCAUUGCAACAUCUGGCAUCACGAGCUACAACAGCAACCAGUUAGGAUCAGGAGAAAGAGGGCAAACACAAGCCUAACAAUGAGUUAUAUCCGGUUUAAACAAGGAUAAAAAUGAGUGUAUUUUACACUCAUCAUGUUGUCUUUUCGCAGCUGUACCGCCUUUAGCGUGUUGUAUUGUUCCUAACACCAAGUCUCCGAGGCCCGAAAAAAUAAGGAAAGUGGUAGCAGCUCAGAAAUCGACUAAGUUUCUUUCCCCCUUUGGCUUUCCUACUAGGAUUCGGAAUCCUCUUUCGUAUGACAAUCUUAAUGAUCUCCCAUAGUCCAAAACUCACAAAAACAUCAAAAAUCCACCGAGAAUAAAUUAAGUAAAAAAACAUGCACACACAGAUAAUAAUAGUAAUCAUGUUUCAUUAUGAUUGCUAAGGUCAGACACAAUACAUAAACAUAUUAGACUGAGUGACCCACCUCACCUCAGAGUAUGCACCAUGUCUGAGUGACCCACCUCACCUUGCCAGGACACUGGUCCUGCCCUCGUGGUUCACGCGCCCUCGUGGUUCAGCAGUGGUCAGUACACAAAUCUAGCUGCCAGUCGGAUCCAAGGGCAGGCAUUUGCAUUGUGGUUGUGUUUGAACAUGGAGAUGUCAUUAUUAUUGUCAGGCACCAUACAUCCUCUCUCAGUUUCACUCCGCCUCACACACGGAUAGCACACCAGGGACCCGACACCAUGCAUGCCGAUUUCAUAUUAUUAAUAUUUAAUUUUUUUAAUGGUUGUUGAAACUAUAUUGUUGAUAUUUUUAUACAUAAUUUACGACCUAAUUUGGAUAUAUUUUUGAAAUAUUCCGAAAUCUUAAAUUCACACGUCUAGAGAUACAGUUAGUCCAAUCUGAUGUUUCCGAUUAUAAAAAUGAACAUAAAGAGAUAGGAAGCGAGAGACGUGAGGGGGAAAGUUAAAUUAGGGCCUAAGGGGUGAAGUUAGGGUUCCAGGUGAGCUGUCAUCACUACGUGUUUUUAAUCGAAAUUGGAAUGUCAGCAAUCGUCAGAUCUUGAGCCAACAGUUGAGACUGCCUCGGAAUGGUAAUUAGGUCUGCGCGAGCUUGCAUUGUGGCCUUCCUUGAAACCUUGGACAUAGGUGUUAUAUUAUUAUGUUCUUGCCAGCACACAGCAGUGAAGGACGACACAGUUGAGAUGUGCAUCACAUUUUCUAUAUGAAGGAUAUGUUUAGCAAACCUAAGAUUUUAGAAUAAAAAGAAAAAUCAUGGGAGCCAAAGCGCCACAUAGUUCUUCCAGGUAAAAAAAAAUCAUCCACUGGACCAGCACAUAGUAACGAUCCAAAAAGUCCAUAUUAAGAUUUUUUGAUAGCAGAAAAAACAUAAAAUGUCUAAUAUUUGUAGUAUUAAAAGGAAAAAUAAUAUAUUCACGUGACCUUUUUCCCGUAGCAAGGCACCGGUACGUGGUCAGACUUAAUGCACGAUGCCUAAGCAUCCAUUGGGCCUACCCUCGUGUGGAUCACGCGCAACAGGACACGGCUCACAAGCUAUGAUGUGCAGCAGUCGCUCAGAUGGCUGAAAGGUACCCUUAAUUUGAAUGGUACCAUAUAUAUAUAUAUAUAUAUAUAUAUAGUAAACAAGACAAACCACCGUUGAUACUACUUUGCACUACUUGAUACAUAUAUCUCCACCAAAAGCGAGGCACGUGGGGAGGAGAGAUAUGUGGUUGAUGGUGCGGGCACGUGGCGAGUGCACCGUACGAAAAUUUUGCUCGUGUCGGACGACUGAUGUGAAGCAUUACCCAAUCUUAAUUAUCUCCCAUAAUCCAAAACUCACAAAAACAUCAAAAAUCCGCCGAGAAUAAAUUAAGUAAACCAUGCACACACAGAUAAUAAAAUUGCUAAUAAGGCCAGAGACAAUACAUAAACAUAUUAGACUGUUCAUGACACAUAUCACGGUGGAUAGUGUCUGUGUCCUUAUUACAAGCAAUGAGAGAUGCUUGUCACCACACACACGCGCACAGAUGCACAACAUACAUAUAGUUGAGACCAACAGAUGGAUCAACUAGAGGUCACCCCAUAUGGUGAACAAUUUAUUGGAGAUAAACAUUAACAUAACUUGGCCAUAGCUUGAAGCAUAGCAACAUAUGCCUAUGAACGGCGUUCAUGCUAUCAUUUUAGGCUUGUCCGCUUCUUCCAUCUUAGCAAGCACUUCCAUUUCUACCAUCUUAGAAGCAACUGUCAAAUUGAGAUAUGGAAAUCCCAUUAGCGCAUGAGUUAAUUUUGCAGUGAAAAUAGAGUACAAGAUAUCUUCAUGAUGUAAGUAACAUGCCUGAAGUUGUGAGAUGGGAAGUGAAGUCAACAAAUUACAUUAACGGAAAUGCAUGGAAGGCCACACAUACGUAUUAGUCCAUGAUAUGCUACAAAGCUUGUAUGUACAUAUAGCAAAUUAAAUGCAUUAAUUGAAUAGAGUGAGUUUAGUGAAUUUACCAGAAUCGUCCAGAAAACAUGGGAAACAGCAAGUGUUCUUGCAGACUGCGUCGGUGCCACCCACAGCAAUACAACCAAAACAACAUGCUUUUGCCCGAGCGGCUGCGCAGCAGCCGCACUCUGCCGCGGUGGCCGAGUUAGCAUUGAGGCUCAAGAUGACCAGGCACAUGAUCACCAUCAAAGCGGUGGUAGUCCUCUUUCCCUCCAUUGCCUCCUCUUGCUGCUACCUUCCUUGGUUACCUAGCUAAGUUUAUUGGUUUUGUGUUGAGAGGUGAUUCUUGCAUUGAAUGGACGUUGCCGCGGCUGCAAUUUAUAGGCAGCUGCGCUAUGUGAUGAUAUGGACAAGGUGCAAAUGGGUGGUCCUGAUAUGGAUAAGGUGCAUGCGAAUGGCUGUCUACUUGUAUAGUGGCGCUCCAAUGUACAUACGUAUGUAUCUUAUGCAUGUAUACAGUUGAUGGAUGUACAUGUUUGUUGCACAAAUUAUUCUGAACCAACUCUUCAUAACAGGUCUUUGUUACCAAGUAAUUUUACUUUUGCACGUUUCAGCCGAGAGGCAGAAGAGAAUAUUUUACAGAGAGGGCAGAGAAGGAGGUUGGCGGAGGCGCCGUGGUAGGGUUCCCCGUGUCGCCAAGAUUUUUGCAUUUUAGAUGUGUGUAUUGAUCACUUCGUCGUGCUCGCGGGGCCCAACUCCAGGUUGUACCCCAGCAGACCACGUUCUGUUUCUCUGCCUCCAAUGAGCAUGCAUGCCUCCACAAGGACCACAAGACUUAGUAAAAAAGCUAAACUUUGCAACACGAUGUAUACAGAACGUUUUGAAAUGUACUCUCGUUAGGCAUUCACCUCCUUAACAAUCACUGCGACUGUAAAAGAGGUACAUCGACGCUAGCUAAAUAAACCACUAUAAGAUUUAGCAAGAGAUCAUUUUAUACAAUCCUGUAACGAAACAAUUUGACAAUUAUAGUGUCCAUAUAUUUUGACAAAAAAACGUUUAAAUUAUAUAAGGAGGUGGGCCCGAAAACGGUUGGAUUACAUCGAGAACGUUUUGAAACAGUUGGCGGAGCAGGAUUCUGGCGUGGAGCAUCUACAUUGUCGCGCGCGCGGACUGCCGGAGUAGGCACGCUCGACUUGUCCCAUCGCCAGCUAAAUGAUUUAGUACCGGAUGGUCUCUAGUACCGGUUGGAGCUACCGUCCACCAGGAGCUUUUCUAGUUUGGAACUGGUACUAAUGCUAAUAUUAGUAUCAGGUCAAAAACAAUCGGUACUAAGGCUAGGGAUGACACGUCAUUUUUCUAGUAGUGUGUGCAAUUGGUUUUGUAAUUAGUCUAUAUUUAAUACUUCUAAUUAGUAUCUACACAUUUUAUGUGACAGGGACUGAACUUUAGUCCGUGGAACCAAACACCCCAUAAGUAUGUUUGGUGCUGUAAGGAUUUCGGUUUUAUUUAAUUUCCUAGGCAUUUAAAUUUCUUUCUAAAAUAAGUUAAUGAAUCAUAGGAUCUCAUUGUUGUAUUCAAGCUGGUGCAUUGAUUUUGCCUAUAAAACCCGCCGCGGUCUUCGCAGCCCCCAUCAAACCCUAGCGCCCUUGCCACAAGCUCAGCACCGCUGCCGCCCGAGCUCGAGCACUAGCACCCACCCAUCGCCGUUGCCUUCCCGUCGAUGGGAUCACCGCCCGGAGCUUCGCAUCGUGGUAAGGAAGCCGCCCGUGAAGAUCCCAUGUGCUCCUAUGCCCUCUACCGCGUCCCCGAGUUCCCGGAGUUGCUAGUCUCCCACCGAGCCGACUCUCCGAGCUUCACGUCACUGGUGCCGCUCCGAAGACCUAGUUCGGUUCGCCAUGCACCUCGCUUCAUCCUGAGCUAAACCCCAUAAUGAAUGGUGGUCGGAUGCUCGCCGCCACGGCGCGUCGUCUUUUCUGUCGCCCGUGCAUUGCCUAUCCCCUUCCAGCCGAUUGCAGCUGUCCGAUCGCAAACCGGUGGCCCUGAUCGGAUACCAAGGUCAAUACCGGUCGAACCGAGCCGUGCGCUGCUUUUGCAAGAAGGCCCCUGUUUUUCUCUCUUUUUGCACCUGAGGUCCUACGCAGUUCAAAAGUAAUAAGAUCUAGGUCCUUUUUCUUUUGUUUUAGCCCGUGUUCUUUUAUAAAAUCCCGCCCACUAUUCUGUUUGGUCUUUUGACGCGUUAGACCUUCUUUUUAUAUGUUUAAUUAGGUUUUAGGUCUCGAUUUCUUUAAGUUUAGCCCUUGAAAGUUUAGUUCUCUCGCAGUUAAGCCCCUGAACCUUGUUUAGCUCAUAUCUUAAGCGUUUUAAAUCCGUUUUAACAGAUUCUUGCGCCUAUAAGUUCAUGUUGACGCAUAGAUUAGUUGACUUAUACGAACCUUGCUGAUUCAGCUCCUUGAUUGUGCUUCAGAUCUCGCUAGGGAAGAAUAAUGGAUGGGCUUUGGUUGAGCUUGUAGAUCGACUUGCAGUUGCAGUGAAUGAGCAGAGGAUUGGCAGUGAAUAAGAUCAGGCCGCUGCCCUGCUUGGUAGGGAAAAUAUCUGCUUGCUACCAAGGCCUGUGACGCAUGGACCCCAUUGAGAGUGCAUUAUUGACAAGGACUUAAAGCCAAGGGCUCCACACCUGUCAUUGAUCAGCUGUCUGCUGGGCGCUGCAAGGAGGUAGUGCAUGUUUGACAUAAAGAAGCAGGUGGCCCAGGAUUUACGAAAAAUAAGGAUCUAUUUGAUACCCUUGCUUAUAUUUAGGGGCUAAAAGUUGCUUAUUUGAAGUUGCUUAUUUUUAAUCCUAGCUGUUUGAUUGCAUGGGCUAAAGAGCAUUGAAUGAGGUGGAUAUUGUCAUGUUUGCCUCUAAUGAUUGCUUCCCAUCACAUUUCUCCCCCCUCAUUCAACGAGGGAAGGAGGUGUAAAGUGCACCUUUUAGCCCCGAUAAGUAACCCUUGUGUUGUUUACGGGCUGAACAUAAGUAGCUAAAGUUUAGCUCCAAUAAACAAGAGUGUUUGGUAUUUUUGGGGUUAAAAGGGGCUAAACUUUAGCUGCUUAUGCAUAAGCAAGGCCAUCCAAAUAGGCCCUAAGUAUGUUUGGCGUUGUAAGUAGGUUUUAUUUAAUUUCCUAGGCAUUUAAAUUUCUUUCUAAAAUAAGUUAAUGAAUCAUAGGAGUUCAUUGUUGCAUUCACGCUGGUGCAUUGAUUUUGCCUACAAAACCUGCUGCCGUUUCCGCAGCUCCCAUCAAACCCUAGCACCCCCGCCACGAGCUCCAGCGCCGCUGCCGCCCGAGCUUGAGCACUAGCGCACACCCAUCGCCGUCGCCUUCCUAUCAAUGGGAUCACCGCCCGGAGCCCGUGUCAUGGUAAAGAAGCCGCCCGUGAAGAUCCCGUCCACUCUCGUGCCCUCUACCGCGUCCUCGAGUUCACCGGAGUUGCCAGUCUGCCACCCAGCCGCCUCUCCGAGCUUCAUGUUGUCGUUGCCACUCUAGCUGCCUCUCUGAAGACCUAGAUCGGUUUGCCGUGCACCCCGCUUCAUCCUGAGUUAAACCCCAUCAUGCCACGUCAUAGUAAGGAAGCUGCUCAUGAAGAUCCCGUGCGCUCCCGUGCCCUCUACCGCGUCCCCAAGUUCACUGGAGUUGCUAGUCCACCACCGAGCCGCCUCUCCGAGCUUCACUUCACAGUCGCUGCUCCAGCCACCACUCUGAAGACCUAGAUCAGUUCGCUGUGCACCCCACCUCAUCCUGAGCUAAACCCCAUGACGAACUGUGGUCGGAUGCUCAUUUUCGAGUGAAUUCCGGCGAGAUGGUCGCCCGCCGCCGCCAUCUCCAUCGCCCAUGCACCGCCUGUCCCCUUCCAGCCGAUGUCCGAUUGCAAACCGAUAGCCGAAAUCGGAUGUGGUCACCAGGAUUAAUACCAGUCAAACUAAGCCACGCGUGCCGCUUUUGCAAGAAGGCCCCUAUUUUUCCCUCUUUUUGCACUUGAGGUCCUAUGCAGUUCAAAAGUAAUUAGAUCAAGGUCCUUUUUCUUAUGUUUUAGCCCUAUUCUUUCAUAAAAUCCCGGCUGCCAUCCUGUUUGAAAUAGAUACGGUUAUAGAUAUGCAAACAUCUGCAUAUUUCCAACCGUAUCUCUUUCGAACGGGAGACGCCUAACUAGGUUACGUGACAUACGAACAUCAUACGGAUAGAGAGGGGUAGGAUGUCUCACCUUGCUAUCCUACAAAGUGACGACUCGAGGACAGUAAUGUAGCCUCUCCUUCAAAAAAAGAACAUACUACUAUCAAGUUAAAUUUUUGACAGCACCUCCCCUGCACGUGGAGGUUUCCAUAACCUGCAUCAAAUAAAACGGCACGAUGGCUGACAACCACAUCUACAGCACCAGAAUGGCACGAUGGCCGACUUCCACAUAAAGUUCUUAUACCUUAGAUUGCCAAGUCAAACAUCCUUUUCUAAUUUCUAAAACAAAAGCCCUCCCACCUCUCUAUCUUAUACUUUCCUAUUUACUAAUUGCUUUUGUAAUUUCUAAUUUCUAUUUCAUCCUACCACCUCUGUACCCUUUUCUCAUUUCUAAUUCCAAUUUUCUAACUUGAAGAGCAAAGAUUGAUUACUAGGAGGGGUGAGGGACGCCGGCCUAGAGAGGCGAGGGGACGUCCGGCGGCGGCGGGUGCGUCGGGGGUAGGAUGCCAGGGGCGGCUGCAGGGGCGCCGGGUUGGGGGCGGCCGGGAUCGAGGGCACCAGUAGCGGGGGCACCGGGCCGGGGGCGGCCGGCGGGGCGGGACGCCAGGGCCGGGGCGACGGGCGCCGGUGGCGAGGCCGCCCGGCCGGUGGUGGCCGGCGUGGCGCCUGGGCCGGGGGGGGGGGGCGGGCGGGGUGCGGCGCGGCGCGCCGGGGCAGGGCGCCGAGGCUGGGUGGUGGGGUACGGGGCGGCGGGCGGGGGGUGGGGGGAGGGUCGGCGGCGGGGCGCGGGGGCGGCCAGCGGCGACGGCGGAGGGCGUCGGUGGUGUUUCGGAAGUGAUACGGAGGGGGUAGAGAGAUUCGUUUUCGCGGCUGAGUGUUCGAGUCAGAAGGCCGUGCGGCUUAAGUCAGGUGGUUUGCCGAGUGCGCGCGAUCUGGCACUCGGCAAAGUCAGAAGUUUUGCCGAGUGUCAGAUCGCGGGCACUCGGCAACUGCAGCUUUUGUCGAGUGCCCUGGAUUCGGCACUCGGCAAAGUGAAGUUUUAAUUUUUUUUAAAAAAAUUUAAUCGGAACACGGGCGUGCCAGCGGGCCCGUGACAUACUUUGCCGAGUGUGUAGCAAAAACACUCGGCAAAAUAUUAUCUUUACCGAGUGUUUUCGCUAGGCACUCGGCAAAGUACACUUAUAUUUCAUGUACACUUUUUCAAUAACGUGUUUUACUAACCUUUUUCUGAUAUACUUGGGAAAAACCUUAUCAAAUUCACUCAACAAUGGAUAUAUGGUUUUUCUACUGACAUUAUUCCAUUAUUUCAUUCAGUUAUAGCUCAAAUUGAAUUUAUAUCUAUUAAAAAUCAAUAAUUGCAUUUAAUAAAUAAAAAAUACCAAACGGAUCUGAAAAAUUUCCAAAAUUUGACAUGAACCAAUCUAUGUUGUAUGUUGCCUGUACAAAAAGCUUUGAAGUCAAACCCCAAUUCAAGUGUCACUUGGACUCCAAAUCUUAUCGGAUCCUUUCUAACUUCUAUGAAUCCUUUCGGGAGAUGAGUCGGUUUGUAAGCAUCAUAUGUCAUAAAUUGGGCGAAACCUUCUCAAUUUUUUACCACAGCCUCCACAUAUAAUAUCAUGACACCUUGACAAAUCUUGUGAUUUUCAGACUUCGUUUGCUUUUUUUAGAAUUUAACAACCAUUCAACCACAUGUUCGUGAUCGUGUUUUCUAAAAAAAUGUUCAAAAUUUCUUUUCAUUUCCUGGUUGAGACCUCAAUCCGGAUUGAAUAAUAUGAAUAUGAUUUUUUCACUGAUUUUAAUCCAUUAUUUAAAUCACUUGCAGUUAAAUUUGACUUAAAUAAACAAAUUCCUAUUAAUGCUAUCAAUUCAUUAAAAAUAGCAAACAGAGAAAAAAUAGACCAACUUUUAAGAUGGAUUACCAAAUGUCAUAUGUGGGGAGUAGAAAAAGUGUGGAGAGCAGAGGUGGAAAAAAAAGUUUUGCCUUUGCCAAGUGCCUACACAAACACUCAACAAACUUUGCGGAGUGCCUAUUGAAAACACUCAGCGAACUUCUGAGUUUGCCGAGUGUCUGGAGGGAGCACUCGGCAACCUACUUAUUUGCCGAGUGUCCGCGUCGGACACUCAGCAAAGUACUAACGGCUGGCACACUCCCCUAACGGACGGCGCACGUGCAAGCCAUGUGCUGGAGAUUUAUCGAGUGUCAAAUCGUUGCCGAGUGUCGUGUGGAUGUUUGCCGAGUGUCUUAUUUGUGACACUCGGCAAAGCUAUUGUUUGCCGAGUGUAUUAUUUAUGCCGAGUGUCUUCCAGUAUACACUCGGCAAAUGAUGUCUUUGCCGAGUGCUCGACAUAAAGCACUCGGCAAAAAUUUUACACUCGGCAACAUUCCUGUUUCCGGUAGUGAGUGACCCGGGACUAAAGACCCCCGUUGUCUCUGAUUGCUUUAUUCCGGAUGGAUUUUCAGGAGAUUUGCUCCCUACCAAUAGGGACUAAAGGCAAGUUUUCCACUUAUAGCAAACCAGUUAGCCCAUUGUUGAUGGAACGCAUCACUAGAAACAGCUCGGGAUCCACUUGUCCAAUAAUCGAGAGGGCCUAUAUAUGGACCACGUGUGCGGAUCCCUAAUUAGGAAAAAAGAAUAAUGGAGUAGGACAUCUCCAUGCUCACCUAGUAGCCGCUGCUAGCUUGUGCGUGUGGAACACGAGUGCCGGCCCAGUUGGCGCUAAGACAUCGUACGUGCAUUAAGGCUACGAUCUCUUUCUUCUAACUCAUGCUUGUGCUAUUAUACAUUAUUGCAUGAUCAUCAAGAUAAGAUCGUAUAGUGACUGAGUGAGACAUGUAUGUACUAACAUGCAUUUAAGCCUCGAACUGUGUGUUGUUACGUGAGCUGCCUCCUCACCUCGCCUCUGAAUUAUUGAACCGUUUCCAACAGUGUUGGUCUCAAAUAAAUUUGACACCAAACAGAUUUAUGAAGAAGAGAGAAUAAUACUUGGAAUUGGAAAAAGUUUAUCUCUCUUUACAAUGGAGUAGGGCUCCCUUUUAUAGUGACCCAUAAGCCACUUUACAUUUGGAAAAUGUCCUUCCUCAACCACUACAUUAAUUCCUAGGAUAUGCUGUACAUAAAGGUCAUUUGAGGUAACGUGUACAAAUGAACUCUUCCACAUGGUCACGUUUCUCAUGCCUCCUGUUUUCCAACCUCGAGACAUCAUCUUCACGCCAAGUUGAUCAUCUAGCCUCGAGGCUCCAUCCACGAUCCAGAAUGAACGUCCAGGCUUGAGGCUCCUUCUUCGUUAAGCUUUGUUGAGAACUCAUAACCUCACAUAGUUCUCCUCCGAGUAUUGUUCCCGACUCAGAACACUCGAGGUUUAGCUCAGUUGGAGUUUAGCUAUUACUGUUGCUAGUCACCAGCCUCGAGCCCCUCCAGAAGCAAGGUGAUGCGAGGGUACGAGUUUUACUAUUAAAGGUGUUUCCAUAGAAUGUGCGAGGUUAAAGCACUUGCAGCAAAAGCGUGGAGCUGCUUUCAACCAGAGUGCAAUAAUGCAGCCGUGCCCAUCUUGGUCUUGGUCUCCGCCUGAACUAUAGCAGAUGCUGGCAGCGGUAGCAGGGUGGUCCAUUAUAUCUAUGGAUGGCAAUGGUCGGAUUCGGAUGGAAUCGAAUUCGAAUAGCACUUUUUACCACAUACUAAUUCAAAUCCGAAUUCGGAUUCGGAUGUUCUCGAAUGCGAAUGCAAAAUGGAUGGUUCGAAUUCGAAUACUUAGCGGAUUUUUGCAUAAUAUUAAUCGAAUAGAAUUCAUUAAAUUUAGCCAAGAAAUUAAAUUUUCUGAAAUUAAAUACUUUCCCUUCGCCCCAGCGGCGGCCUAACUCCCAGGACGGUGGCGUGCGGGGCCCGAGCAUCCCUGGCCUCUAGUGGCGUGGCGGGGCGGCAUCCAGCAGCAGCGGCGGGGCUCGGCCUCCGGUGGCGCGCGGCCAGCCCGACCUACCCGGUCAGAGGUGGCGCAGCGGUGCGCGGGCCUCCCCGACCAGAGCCGGUGGGGAGCGGUGCGCGGGGAGGACCUCCCCAGCCGGAGGUAGCAGGGCGCGACCUCCCCGGCCGGAGGUGGCUCCCUGUGGGGGCGCGGCCGUGACAGCUAGCGAGGCAAUAAUUGCUUCCGUACGCAGCAAUAAUUGCUUGUGCGACACCGUGUUAUUACUCUGGUACAGUACUCCCUCCGUUGCAGUACACUGGUCCAGGCGUCAGGACACUGCUCCUGCCCUCGUGGUUCACGUGCAUCAGGCCAGCAGACAAGCUAUGAUGUUGCCAACAGUGUUUGUUUGAACAUGGAGAUGUCAUUGUGAUUGUCAGGGACCCGACACCAUGCAUGCCGAUUUCAUAUUCUUAAUAUUUAUUUUUUUAAUGGUUGUUGAAACUAUAUAGUUACUCCAAUAUCACGUUUCCGAUUAUAAAAAUUAACAUAAAGAGAUCGGAAGGGAGAGCCCGCAUAAUGAAGCCGACGCGUAUAAUAAGCACUAGAGCCGGCAUUUAUACAAACGGGUACGCAUAGUAAAAACUAGAAUUUAUAAAUAAAUGAAGAUAUUCAAAUAUCUGGCUUACUUUUUUCAUUAAUUUUGCAUGAAUAAGGGAUGAUUCAUUAAUCAUUAUUGAACAAAUUGGCACACAUGCUUCGUGCCCGCGUUGUGAGCAUUAUGCGAUGCCACUGAGCUGCACCACCACGGUAGAGGGCCUGUUUGCGAUGCCACCGAGCUGCACCACCACGGCAGAGGGUCUGUUUGGGAAGGGGAAGUUAAAGUUUAACACCCCCCAUUUAACACCUUUUUAACAAAAUGGCUGCUAAACACUUGUGUUAAAAGAGUAGUGUUAAAAUUUAACACCUCUCUUUUCAUAAACACAUGGAGGGGGUGUUAAAAUUUGCUAAAUGUGUUAAAAGUGGUCCCCUCCCCACUUAUUCCUUGGUUGCCCCCCUCUCUCUCCUCCUCUCUCUCCUACCCGCCGCAUUUAAGAGCAUUAUUGAGGGGUAAUGCAGUCCUUUUCCAACAAAAGUGUUAAACUUUAACAACCCUUCCCAAACAUGCCACAAGCAACACCACCGGCUGACUGUGCUAGCGGGGAGCACCCUCACCGCCUGCCCGUGGGGACUUCUUCUGCCGGCCAUCGUGUCUUUGUAGGACCGCCGCGUGAGCCUAUGAGCCACCGGUGGCCGUGCGCCCAAGGGCCAUCACCAUGCCACCUGAGGAUGCUGUCUACCCGGUGCCGCGUGCCUCUGCUAGCUGCUUGCACCUGGGCCGCCGCUGGUCGCCUGCACAGCCACGCGUUACAGCCGCCCCCCUGCGCUGGGCCACCCCAUUUCGUGUUGGAAGAACUGCCACAGUCUCGCGCACUGGGGUUUUGCUAGUGACGACCAUAGCCUCCAAGAUCAAAUGAAAAAGUUGGUACUCAAAACAUACAUCCAUUAAUCUAGUCGUGCUAAUCCUUACCACCAAAUAAAAACUAGCAUGUGUUGUGUUUUUGUGACCCUAAACGAUCACAAAUGAAUAACUUAUGGGCGUUGCUAGCCUAUAAGUUAUGGGCGUUUGUGACCCUAGUCGCGCCGGGGUCUUGCUGGUGACAACCAUGGUCUUCGCGAUAAAGUAUUAAGUCUCAUCGAGUUCUACAAUUUUGAUAUAAAAUUUCUAUUCAUCCGAGAUCAAAUGAAAAACAAAUGAAAAAAUCCGAAGUAUUAGGCUUCAUCGAGCUCUACAAUUUUGAUAUAAAAUUUCUAUUCAUCCGAGAUCAAAUGAAAAAAUCCGAGAUCAAAUGAAAAGUUGGAACUCAAAACAUACAUCCAUUAAUCUUGAUAUAAAAUUUCUAUUCAUCCGACAUCAAAUGAAAAAGUUGGUACUCAAAAUAUACAUCCUUUAAUCUAGUCGUGCUAAUCCUUACCACCAAAUAAAAAAACUAGCAUGUGUUGUGUGUUUCUGACCGUAAACGAUCACAAAUGAAUAACUUAUGGGUGUUGCUAGCGUCCCGGACGCUAGCAUCGGACGCAUGAGCAGCCGUCCGAUCGGGUCCGACACCACUUCACGAUCUGUCUUAAAAAAAAGUCCCACCGAAACAUUGUUCCAUGUUGCAUGAAAUACCCCACUAUCCAUCGCCAGGUCUACAGCAAGCACCACCUUCCAAUCUGCUGCUCACCCAAGCUAAAUAGGGGCAUUAAAAUUGCAGAAAUAUGUCACAUAUCCUUGUCAAAUUAAACUAAAUCGCAACAUCCGAAAAUUUCUUACACAAAACCAUGAAACAUAUCGAUUAGAUAGGUGUAACAAGAUGGAAUAUGGUAUCCAACAUAUAGAUUCCGAAAAACAGAUGAAACAUUAUGUAACGAUUGUUGAAACAGUCGAGAAAUAUAGAUGUAACGAUUAAAAUUUAGAAAAGAAGCUUUAUGCAAAUUGCAAAAAGCUGAAAUAAGUGGUUGAAACAUUUCGAAUCACCAAAUGCCACAUUUGAAAUGGCUACAUGAAACAUCACGAAAUCAAUUGCAACAGUUGAAGAUGAAAACAUUCAAAUGCCUUGCCUUUCUCCAGAUUUGACCCUCCAAGCAUGAGUCCAGCCAUUUGCACAUUAGACCCUUGGGAGGAGCUCACCGGAGAACAACAAGACCGUGUUCUCCAACAAUUUUCUGAUCAAAUUGCAACAGACAAAACAAAGCAUUGCAACAUCUGGCAUCACGAGCUACAACAUCAACAAGUUAGGAUCAGGAGAAAGAGGGAAAACACAAGCCUAACAACCCCAAGACAAAACUGAUGUACUCAUCAUACAUCACGGCUUGCCGUGCACAGAGAUGAAGGCCGCCAAGCUCAAUCGAGACAGAGACGACGUGAUAGUGCUCCAGAUCGACGGUCCCCAUCAAUUGUUGCGUACACUGCCAAAAGCAAUGGAAGAAGAAGGGUCGUCCCUGCUCGACCUCCGUAGAUGAGCGCAGAUUGGGGGAAACCGUAUAGAGUGCCGCUGACAGCACAGGCGAGGGGGCUCAGGCUUGAUUCAGGGUGAGGGUAGCGGGUAGCAUGAGGAGACAGUCAGGUUUCAUAGGAGAGAGGCGGAGUAGAGAGCUCUGGUGACUCGGUGAGGAGGGUGCGGCACGGAGAAAGGUGUGUAGCUGAAGGAGCUACAUGGUUGGGGCGAGGCGAGCGUAGAGACUAGAGAGGGAAAAAAAGCAUGGGGAGGAGACGAUAUGUGGUUGAUGGUGCGGGCACGUGGUGAGCGCACCGUAUGAAAAUUUUGCUCGCGUCGGAUGACUGAUGUGAAGCAUUACCCAAUCUUAAUUAUCUCCCAUAAUCCAAAACUCACAAAAACAUCAAAAAUCCGCCGAGAAUAAAUUAAGUAAACCAUGCACACACAGAUAAUAAAAUUGCUAAUAAGGCCAGAGAUAAUACAUGAACAUAUUAGACUGUUCAUGACACAUAUCACGGUGGAUAGUGUCUGUGUCCUUAUUACAAGCAAUGAGAGAUGCUUGUCACCACACACACGCGCACAGAUGCAUGACAUACAUAUAGUUGAGACCAACAGAUGGAUCAACUAGAGGUCACCCCAUAUGGUGAACAAUUUAUUGGAGAUAAACAUUAACAUAACUUGGCCAUAGCUUGAAGCAUAGCAACAUAUGCCUAUGAAUGGCGUUCAUGCUAUCGUUUUAGGCUUGUCCAGCUUCUUUCAUCUUAGCAAGCACUUCCAUUUCUACCAUCUUAGCAGCAACUGUCAAAUUGAGAUAUGGAAAUCCCAUUAGCGCAUGAUUAAUUUUGCAGUGGAAAUAGAGUGCAAGAUAUCUUCAUGAUGUAAAUAACAUGCCUGAAGUUGUGAGAUGGGAAGUGAAGUCAACAAAUUACAUUAACGGAAAUGCAUGGAAGGCCACACAUACGUAUUAGUCCAUAAUACGCUACAAAGCUUGUAUGUACAUAUAGCAAAUUAAAUGCAUUAAUUGAAUAGAGUGAGUUUAGUGAAUUUACCAGAAUCGUCCAGAAAACAUGGGAAACAGCAAGUGUGCUUGCAGACUGUGUCGGAGCCACCCACACGAAUACAAAGCUGACAACAUGCUUGUGCCUCGUGGGAUACGCAGCAGCCGCACUGUGCCGCGGUGGCCGAGUUAACAUUGAGGCUCAAGAUGAACAGGCACAUGAUCACCAUCAAAGUGGUAGUCCUCUUUCCCUCCAUUGCCUCCUGUCGCUGCUACCUUCCUUGGUUACUAGUAAGUUUAUUGGUUUUGUGUUGAGAGGUGAUUCUUGCAUUGAAUGGACGUUGCCGCGGCUGCAAUUUAUAGGCAGCUGCGCUAUGUGAUGAUAUGGACAAGGUGCAAAUGGGUGGUCCUGAUAU
rnacentral:lncRNA from 1 species